UUUCCCUUUCCCUUCCCUUUGGAAGAUGAUGUUUCGCUCAUGCGGCUUCGUUUGUUGGACGACAUAGUUGGGAGAGAGGUUGGAAUAGAUUCGGUGAGAAUUGGUUGACAAUCGAACUCAAAAUUUGGUUGGAGAAAAUUGUCGAACAUCUUGUGGGCGUGCCUUGAAAGAGUAGAUUUUGGAGAAUUUGGUUUGAUUCUCUAGCCUCCUUGUGUGUGGGAUUUGGAGAGAAGGAACGAGGAGGGUUUGGAAAUAAUGGGGGAGAAAAUCUGACUUUUAAAACGCCCCAACUAGGUUCGGACGGCCGUCCCGAUUUUUGUGCUAAAUUUCGGACGGCCGUCCGAAAUUUUUUUCUCCUUACUGGUUUUGGGACGGCCGUCCCACAAAUUAACCAUAUUUUGGGACGGCCGUCCCACAUGCUGUGAUGCUGGACUUUGCCUUCUGUUUCCCGGACGACCGUCUGGGAUUUUGCUUGCAAUUUCGGACGGCCGUCUGGCCCCCCCGACCAUGUUUUCGACCCUGAAAAUUAAAAUUCAAAUAAAUUAAUUAGAAUGCAUGCCUAUGACGAUAAAACCGAAACGAAAAAUUAAAGAAAAACUACGAAAACCAAAAAGCUCGGGUUGUCUCCCGAGAAGCGCUAAGUUUAAAGUCUUCAGCCGGACGUUGCUUCUUUAUUUUCAAGCAAAAGUGACCGAAGGCACUUGGCAAUAUUCACUCGCUUCCCUAUACGGUUUGAGCCGGCUGCGCUUCACGUUGAACGUACGAUUUGAAUCUCGCUCCUUUAUUUUGACUACCUCGUGAGGAAGAAUUUCUUGGACAAUAAACGGCCACGACCACUUUGAUUUGCGCUUCCUUGGAAAUAAAUAAAGACGGGAUUUGCACAAUAACACCAAUUGUCCUUUGUGCAAUUCCUUUUUGAUUUUAUCCUUACGACCCCUAUACCUUGACUCAUCCUUCUCUUGUGGCUUGCUCGAUUCUUUGGGUUGCAACAUCCUCCUUGCACUCUCAUCGUCGUUAAGACCCCAACUCACAUGACUUUCUCUCGGAGGAGUUGAAAUUGAGUCCAUGAAGUAAACUUGCUCCUUCCGAUUCUCAUCUCCGCCAUCAUCUCCUGCACUCAAAGAUGCUUUCCCAUUGUCCAAGAUCAAAACAUCAAACUUUUCAUUAUUUGUAAAAUCCAUAAGCUCAAUAGCAAAACAAUGAUUAUUAUCACAUGGAUUUUUAUUAGCACUAAAAACAUUGAAUUUGAUUGUUUGAUCAUGCACAGUCAUUAUAAGAUCACCACUAGCACAAUCAAUGAGAGUUUUCGACGUGGCUAAAAAUGGCCUCCCUACGAUAAUAGGUAUCUCCCUAUCCUCAUCUAUAUCAAGUAUAACGAAAUCUACAGGGAAGAUAAAUUUAUUAACCUUCACUAACACAUUCUCUAAAAUACCUUUUGGGUAAACUAAAGAUCUAUCGGCUAAUUGAAGAGUUAUAGCCGUCGGUUCAAUUUCCCCUAACCCAAGGUUUUUAAAAGUAGAAUAAGGCAUAAGAUUAAUGCUAGCGCCUAAAUCAAUGAGCGAUCUAAAAUUUUUACCUCCUAUAGUACAAGGAAUAGUAAACUUACCUGGAUCGCCGAGUUUUUGUGGAAGAGGCCGAGUAAGAAUUGCACUAAUUUGCUCCGUGAGUUGGAUCAUCUCGUUCCCUUGCAAUUUCUUACUUUUCUUUACGAGGUCCUUGAGGAACUUCACCCACUUUGGCAUCUUUUGAAGUGCUUCAAUGAAAGGAAUAUUUAUGCGAAUUUCCUUCAACUUGUCCAAAAAUCUUUGAUAUUCGGCGUCGAGCUUCUUCUUUAUAAACUUUUGAGGAUAAGGAAUUGGAGGGACUUGUGAAGGCACCGUCGAUGGUGGCUCUUCAUGAGUUGAUUCUUUUUCCUCAUUUUUUUUCGGCUUCUUGAUUACCGUGUUUCUCUUCUCUUUUCGUGGGGCUUCCUCCAAUUUCUUACCGUUCUUCAAGGUGACUGCUUGGCACGUCUCGACCUCGAUCUUUUUCGUUAGCAAUCUUUGUGGAUAUGGGAUUGGCUCGACCCAUUCGGCUACAGUGACUUGCGGCUUGACUUGAAUUUCUUCCUUUUUCCCGAUCUUGAAAUCGAUAGCUUGGCACAUCUCGAACUUUUGCUUUCGAGGAUCUUCUGUAUUUGAUGGCAAUGCUCCCGCCGGACGUUUCUCUUGAUUCACAACGAAUUGAGCGAAUUGAUUCUCCAAAUUCCGCAGCGAGGCUUGGGUAGCGGUCAUGAAUUGGGCCAAUAUCUCAUCCGUGUUUGAUUUUUGGGCCAGUGGAUUGUUGCCUUGAUAGCUUUGUUGAGGAGGGGCUUGAUAUCCUUGGCCUUGUUGAUUUCCUCCAUAUUGCUCUUGUGAUCUACACCCUUGAUUUUGGAAUUGGCGAGGCGCAUUAUUGACGUAGUUGAGCGAUUCCACAUCUUGUUGGCAUUGGAGCGUGUAAUGAUUUCCACCGCAAAUUUCACAACAUGGAGAAUCAACGGCUUGGACUUGUUGUGGUGGAUUUGCUUUGAUGUGCUGUAGAAGGAGUUGAUUUUGUUGAGCAAUUUGGGUCACUUGGGCUUGAAGGGCCGUAAUUGCAUCUAACUCCAACACUCCGGGAACUUUCUUGGCUCCACUAACCGUCCUCUCACUUGACUUGGCAAACCGAUUUUGUGCAAUUUGAUCCAACAUGAUAAAUGCAUCCGGUAUCGAUUGACUCAUGAAAUUUCCCCCGGUUGAUGCAUCUAAGACAGUUCGUGCAUUCUCAUUAAUCCCUUGGUAGAAGAUGUGGAUUCGCCGCCAUUGUUCGACUCCAUGUGUUGGACACUGCCGCAAAAGAGUUUUAAAUCUCUCCCAUGCCUCGUAUAAUUGCUCACCUUGCUCUUGGACGAAAUUAUGAAUUUCUCGUCGGAUUCUCUCGUCUUUCUCGGGUGAGCUAUAAACUUUCAUGAAAUGGUUGAGGAGUUGAGGCCACGAUGAGAUAGAGUGGGGGGCUUGGGAUAUCAACCACUGGCGAGCUCUUCCUUGUAAGAAUUUAAUUUAAGCGCCUCUUGGGAAACGCCGUUUUGACGACGGGAAUUACAGGUAUCUAGAAAAUUGACAAUGUGAAGAUGGGGAUCUUCACCUACCAAUCCACUAAAUAGCCCGUUAUUUUGGAGCAUCGUCAAGAGGCCUUGCUUGAUCUCAAAAUUGUGCGCCUCAAUGGGUGGAUAUUGGAUGCUCGGGCAGAAUCCGUCUAGAGUUGAGAUUAUGUAAUCUUGAAGUGCCCGUGGCCGAACUGUUGGCUGUAAUGGAAGUUGAGGGGGUGGAUCUUGGACUUGGUUUCCGUUGGCCUCGAGUAAAUUACCCUCUGCGCGUCUGCGUUCUUCGCCCUCCAUUAUAUUGUUUUCGCGUUGAAGUCUCCUAGCGGCUCGAAAAGUACGUUCGAUUUCGGGAUCAAACGGUUCUCUAGCAAGAUCGAGUCUCCUACGCAUACACAGUACCUAAAACAAAAAAUAAAACAAAAAUUAAAUGGGUGAAUUGUGAAAAUUGUUCAAAUCUAGAGCUAGAAUAAAAUAAAUAAUUAAAAUAUUCCCCGGCAACGGCGCCAAAAACUUGUUGGGUGUAAUACCUACACGCAAGUGCACGUAUCGUACAAGUAAUAAAGUGGAUUUUUUAAGUCCAAGUAUCGAUCCCACAGAGAAUAUUUAAUUAUCUAAUCCUAGACGCUAAAUUCUACCAAUUGUUUUCAAGCCCACCCUACACAGUCGAAUUUGGAAAAGAUUAACUAAAUUAAACUAAAUUAAAGCAAUUAAAAAGAUAAAAACAAGAAAGCAAUUUAAACACGAAGAUUAAUCAAAGUAGACAAGCCUAGGAUUUUAUUCUUCCCCCUAUGUGAUUAUUACUCCUCCAAUUCUUUCAAUUAUGCAAGCAAUUAACCCGGAUUAUUAACCUGAGAUGCUAAAAUAAUCAUAACCCGCUUCCGCGUGUAUUACGAUUCUAAUACUCUAGAUUCAAUUACUAUAUUCCUAUGCAAUUAAUGCUAGAACACAGCAUUAAGCACAAAUCUCAAUAAUGGCUACCUAAGAGAUUAACUAUAUUCCUUUGUUAAUGCCACAAAGAUUCUUCUACCAUAGUUCUAAUUAUUAACCCGAUCUUCCGAUUCAUGCGAUUAACAAUAACAUAAAAGCACAUAAGGUGAUCAAGUUCAUGCACUUAAUAAAACAAGUAGAAGAAAUAAUCCGGAAUUAAAACUUGCAUAAAAUCAUAGAAAAGGGUUCAUAAAUCCCACAUAGGGUUCCGAACAAAAUCCUAGACAUAAGAAAUUUAGCUACUCAUGAUUAAAGGAAAAACACAAAUAAAAUAAAUCAUAAACGAUAAAUCGUUGCUUAGAGUCUUCGAAUUCUUCGUCUUCGUUAUUGCUUUGUUGCUCUUGAAAUUGCGUAAAAGAUGGAUCCCCAAUUGUGUGCUAUAGAGUGGAAAAUAUGGUGAAGAAGGUAGUUUCCUUGUGCAAUUAGGAUUCCUUUACUGCGCCUUCUCGUCAUCUCGGACGGCCGUCCCGAAUUUUGUACUAAAAUUCGGACGACCGUCCCAAAACCAGUGGUGGCUUCUACUUCUCAAACGGCCGUCCCAGUUUUAAGUGUAAAUCUGGGACGGCCGUCCCAUGCUAAUUGCUUCAGAUUUUUGAUUUUUUCACUUUUGGCCCAUAUUUUCUCCAAAAUUGCAGUUUUGACCCCAUACUUUUCCAAUUCUUUAAUUUGUACCUAAAAUACAAUAAAUCAACUUUUUAAGCACCAAUUAUCGUUAAAACACACCAAAAGAUCAAAUAAAAAGGUACGAUAAAGUGUAAAAAUAUACACUUAACAGCUAACAAAAAAAGGCAGAAUUCGAGAUUCGUUGGAACAGGUCACACUUUGGCGAAGUAUCCUACAAAGAAACUCCUCAGAGCUAGAAGUAUUAUAGGAAUGGCCAUAAGAAUGGGUGCAUCAUGACAUCGUAAGAUGUCUCGCCCGAAUGAGUUCGUUUGUACUAGAAAUGUUAGAAAACGUGAACGAAAAGAGUAAUAAGAAGUGAAAAGGACAGAGACACUUGCCAACCACAAAGCAAAGUUCCCACUGAUGGUAUACUUAGUGUUAGCGAGCUCUAAGAUCACGUCUUUGGAAUAAAAUCCAGUUAGAAAAGGAAAUCCAAUUAGGAAUAAUCUGCCCAGGAGCAUCAUGGCAUAGGUAAAAGGAAACGAGGAGGCAAGCCCCCCCAUCUUCGGCAUAUCUUGCUAUUUUCUUAUUCUAUUUGUUCCUAUAAACAAUUAGAAUUCCCCUAUACUAUUGAUAAGGAACGUCAAAUUUGAUUCGAAUUGCAAAAUAACUAUUUAAUUCGGAGAAGAGUUAUUAAUGGGCAUUGCGCAUUGGUGGAAAUAUCGAAAGAAAUUAUGGAAAAAUAAGUGUUUUCUACGAACUCAAAUUGUAUUUGAGUACGAAACGAACUCUCUCUCAAGUGAAACGGCGCAAUGAACAGAACUCAUGAGCAAAACUCAUGAAUCACGUCAAAUUUCAGCAAUCCAACGUCGUUUAGACUCCCAAAAGUUCGUUUUUACUAUUUUAGGCAAGUUUUAGAAAAUUAAUAUCAAAUCAUAUAAUUUUUUUUUUUUUACUAUUUUAGGCUCGUUUUUGCCGUUUUUGGUAAUUUUUAGUAUUUUUUUAGUUUAAUUAGGGUUUUCAGUUUUAUUACUAUAAAUAGCUGCUUUAGGACUUUAUUUUGAGAAGAAUCUACGAAUUUUAAUAAAAUCUUUAGAGUUUUUUUCUAUUUUCUGGUGGAUUCCGAAUGUUAUUUUAUUCUAUAGGAUUAAUUCGUAGAAAUUAAUUCUUUAUCGUGCUUCCGUUCUGCGUCAGUUGGCAUCAGUAGCGAGGUUUUUCCUGGUUAGAUGGCGAAAGGUGCGAAACAUGGAGACAAAAACUACGUUGGCGAUGACCGCGGGGUUGAAAAACUGCAAAAUCUGCGGUUGGUGCGCGAGGGAUUUGCCCUUGACAACAACAGAAGUAAUGGAUCUAACAUGAUGAUUGCCAACGGUGUAGCCCGAGGUGCAUAUGUUAGACACAAUUAUCAUGGACAUGUUCAACUUCAAUCAAGAUAUGAUGACAAUUCAAAGGUGAGCGGCAACUUUGAGUUUGAAGAAACCCCGCCUAUAAGAAGGCAAAAGGAUCAUGAUAAAUCUCGGGUAAUAGUUGAAAUUCCUUCUUUUAGUGGAAAUUUUCUUGAAGUUGAGGAUUUUAUCGAUUGGGUAUCAGAAGUCGAAAGGUAUUUUCAAUUGACGGAUAUUUUGCCAAAUAAGAUGGUAAAAUUGGUGAGGUGUGAGUUAAAGGGUAGAACAACCGCAUGGUGGGAAGGGAUACAAUGGAAGAGAGCUAGACAAGAAAAAGUUCCAAUCCAAUUAUUGAGGAGGAUCUGUUAACAAGUAUACUGCUGAGUUUAUGAGACUAUCAAACUUAAGUAACCUGCAAGAAUCCAAAAGUACGGAAAUUUCAAGAUACUUGGAAGGAUUCAAUAUUUCAAUACGCCUUAGGAUGGGGUGGCGUACAUUCGACUCCCUUGAUGAGGCUCAAAAGUUAGCAUGGAGGGAGGAAUAUUAUCAGAAGCGAAAUAGUUAUUCUAGAAAAACCGAAGAUGUUCCACCCGUUGUCAAAGUUAAGGAGGCACAAGAUACUUCGUUCGUUAUUCAACCUCCAAAUUUGGUGGAUGAUCCUGACAAAGUUGAAAAAGGAAAUUGUCGUAAAAGUUAAAAGUAGCGUAGCUAUAAUAAACGAUGACAUUAACGAUGUCAAAGUGAACGUCAACGAAGUUGAAUGAACAGUCAACGAGCUUGAAUAGAGCAUCAACAAAGUUGAAGAGAGCGACAAUGGGAUAGAAGAGAAUAUUCGAAAGAUAGAAGAAGAAGUCGAAGAUUUUAAAGAGGGUGUUAAAAGUAAAUUUGAGGAAGAGUUUGAAGUUGCAGAAUUUGUUCAAGAAGAGGAAGGUGCACGAGAAGAGAAUGCACAAGUGGAUUGCGUCAGGCCAUGAAUGCGCAUCAAGAAACGUGCACAAAAACACUCGCUAGAAAAGAUACGCACAUAAGUAGAAGUACAAAAGCAUGCAAAAAAGUACUCACGCAAAAGUGCAUUCGCAAAAAGUACUCACGCAAAAGUGCAUUCGCAAAAAGGAUCAUGAAAACACAAACUACGGUCCUAGGACAUUAAUACAAAUCAACAAACAUGCACAAAGACACUCGCUCAAAUGGACAUGCACAAACGUACAUGUAAAAGGACAUGCGCAAAAGUGCCUUGGCAACAACGUUCUUAAAAACACGAACUACAAUACUAGGACUAUAAUACGCAUCAACAAACAACAGCAAAAACACUAGAUAAAAAAGAUAUACAGUGGAGUGUAGAAAUAAUGUAUUAAUGUCCUAGCAUUGUAGUUUGUGUUUUCAUGAUCCUUUUUACGAAUGCACUUUUGCGUGAGUACUUUUGUGCAUGCUUUUGUACUUUUACUUAUAUGCGUAUCUUUUCUAGAGAGUGUUUUUGUGCACGUUUCUUGAUGCGCAUUCAUGUCCUCGAACUGUAGUACGUAUUUUCAUGAUCUCUUCCGGAAUCCAAUUUUGACCAUGUUCGAGUCCGAAUUGGGAUUUUUGCCGUUGGACAGGAAUUGUAGCAGCUGAAAUAGCUUUCUAAUGCCGCCGGAACCAGUUGAUUUGGAGUCCAGAUGAGAAGGUUAUGCUCGACCUCGUGGACACCACCACAAACGUUGAGGGAUUCUCUCUUCUAAUUUGAUUUCAUUUUGCUAAUUGCAACUAUUUUCUUACUCUUUGAUCAUUUUUGCUUCCUGGACACAUAAUUGUUGAUUUCUACCUAAAAGAUACCAAAUACACCAAUUAAAACAUAAAUAUAAAUUAAUCCAAAAAAAAAAAAAAAUCCACGUAACCGUAAACAAAGAGUUUCAUUUCUACACUCCAAUGUAUCUUUUUUAUCUAGUGUUUUUGCUAUUGUUUGUUGAUCCCUAUUACAGUCCUAGUAUUUUAGUUCGUAUUUUUAGGAACGUUGUUGCGAAUGCACUUUUGCGCAUGUUUUUUACCACGUAGGUUUGUGCAUGUCCAUUUCACCGAGUGUGCUUGUGCAUGUUUGUUGAUUUGUAUUAAUGUCCUAGGAUUGUAGUUUGUGUUUUCGUGAUCCUUUUUGCGAAUGCACUUUUGCGUGAGUACUUUUGUGCAUGCUUUUGUACUCUUACUUAUGUGCGUAUCUUUUCUAGCGAGUUUUUUUGUGCACGUUUCUUGAUGCGCAUUCAUGUCCUCGAUCUGUAGUACGUAUUUUCAUGAUCUCUUUUGAAAUCCAAUUUUGACCAUGUUCGAGUCCGAAUUUGGAAAUUUGCCGUUAGACAGGAAUUUUAGCCAAGUGAAAUAGCUUUCCAAUGCCGCCAGAACCAGUUGAUUUGGAGUCCGGAUGAUAAAGUUAUGCUCGAAUUCGUGGACACUACCACAAAUGUUGAGGGAUUCUCUCUUCUAAUUUGAUUUUAUUUUACUAAUUGCAACUCUUUUCUUACUCUUUGAUCAUUUUUGCUUCCUGGACACCUAAUUUUCGAUUAGUACCUAAAAGAUACCAAAUCGACCAAUUAAAACAGAAAUAUAAAUUAAUCCAAAAAAAAAUCCACGUAAACGUAAACGUAGAGUUUCAUUUCUACACUGCACUGUAUCUUUUUUAUCUAGCGUUUUUGUUGUUGUUUGUUGAUGCGUGUUAAAGUCCUCGUAUUGUAGUUCUUCUUUUUAAGAACGUUGUUGCGAAUGAACUUUUGCGCGUGUUCUUUUACAUGUACAUUUGUGCAUGUACAUUUGAGGGAGUGUGCUUGUGCAUGUUUGUUGAUUUGAAUUAAUGUCCUAGGAUUGUAGUUUGCGUUUUCCUGAUCUUUUUUGCGAACGCACUUUUACGUGAGUACUUUUGUGCAUGCUUUUGUACUCUUACUUAUGUGCGUAUCUUUUCAAGCGAGUGUUUUUGUGCACGUUUCUUGAUGCGUAUUCAUGUCCUCGAUCUGUAGUACGUAUUCUCAUGAUCGCUUUUGGAAUCCAAUUUUGACCAUGUUCGAGUCCGAAAUCGGAAAUUUGCCGUUAGACAGGAAUUGUAGCCAGCUGAAAUAUCUUUCUAAUGCCGCCGGAACCAGUUGAUAUGGAGUCCGGAUGAGAAAGUUAUGCUCGACUUCGUGGACACUACCAAAGAUGUUGAGGGAUUCUCUCUUCUAAUUUGAUUUUAUUUUCCUAAUUGCAACUCUUUUCUUACUCUUUGAUCAGUUUUGCUUCCUGGACACCUAAUUUUCGAUUUGUACCGAAAAGAUACCAAAUCCACCAAUUAAAACAGAAAUAUAAAUUAAUCCAAAAAAAAAAUACACGUAAAUGUAAACGUAGAGUUUCAUUUCUACACUCCACUCUAUCUUUUUUAUCUAGUGUUUUUUCUAUUGUUUGUUGAUGCGUAUUAAAGUCCUAGUAUUGUAGUUUGUGUUUUUAAGAACGUUGUUGCGAAUGCACUUUUGCGCAUGUUUUUUUACAUGUACGUUUGUGCAUGUCCAUUUGAGGGAGUGUGCUUGUGCAUGUUUGUUGAUUUGUAUUAAUGUCCUAGGAUUGUAGUUUGUGUUUUCAUGAUCCUUUUUGCGAAUGCACUUUUGCGUGAGUACUUUUGUGCAUGCUUUUGUACUCUUACUUAUGUGCGUAUCUUUUCUAGCGAGUGUUUUUGUGCACGUUUCUUGAUGCGCAUUCAUGUCCUCGAUAUGUAGUACGUAUUUUCAUGAUCGCUUUUGGAAUCCAAUUUUGAUCAUGUUCGAGUCCGAAUUGGGAAAUUUGCCGUUAGACAGGAAUUGUAGCCAGCUGAAAUAGUUUUCUAAUGCCGCCGGAACUAGUUGAUUUGGAGUCCGGAUGAGAAAGUUAUGCUCAACUUCGUGGACACUACCAAAGAUCUUGAGGGAUUCUCUCUUCUAAUUUGAUUUUAUUUUCCUAAUUGCAGCAACUAUUUUCUUACUCUUUGAUCAUUUUUGCUUCCUGGACACCUAAUUUUCGAUUUGUACCUAUAAGAUACCAAAUCCACCAAUUAAAAUAGAAAUAUAAAUUAAUUCGAAAAAAAAUCCACGUAAACGUAAACGUAGAGUUUUAAUUCUACAGUCCACUAUAUCUUAUUUAUCUAGUGUUUUUGCUGUGGUUUGUUGAUCCGUAUUAGAGUCCUAGUAUUUUAGUAUGUAUUUUUAAGAACGUUGUUGCGAAUGCACUUUUGCGCAUGUUUUUCUACACGUAUGUUUGUGCAUGUCCAUUUGACCGAGUGUGCUUGUGCAUGUUUGUAGAUUUGUAUUAAUGUCCUAGGAUUGUAGUUUGUGUUUUCAUGAUCCUUUUUGCGAAUGCACUUUUGGGUGAGUACUUUUGUGCAUGAUUUUGUACUUUUACUUAUAUGCGUAUCUUUUCUAGCGAGUGUUUUUGUGCACGUUUCUUGAUGCGCAUUCAUAUCCUCGAACUGUAGUACGUAUUUUCAUGAUCUCUUCCGGAAUCCAAUUUUGACCAUGUUCGAGUCCGAAUUUGGAUUUUCGCCGUUAGAUAGGAAUUCUAGCAGCUGAAAUAGCUUUCUAAUGCCACCGGAACCAGUUGAUUUGGAGUCCGGAUGAGAAAGUUAUGCUUGACUUCAUGGACACUACCACAAAUGUUGAGGGAUUCUCUCUUCUAAUUUGAUUUUAUUUUCCUAAUUGCAACUCUUUUCUUACUCUUUGAUCAUUUUUGCUUCCUGGACACCUAAUUUUCGAUUUGUACCUAAAAGAUACCAAAUCGACCAAUUAAAACAGAAAUAUAAAUUAAUCCAAAAAAAAAAUCCACGUAAACGUAAAGGUAGAGUUUCAUUUAUUUUUUAUCUAGUGUUUUUGUUGUUGUUUGUUGAUGCGUAUUAAAGUCCUGGUAUUGUAGUUCGUCUUUUUAAGAACGUAGUUGCGAAUGCACUUUUGCGCAUGUUUUUUUACACGUACGUUUGUGCAUGUCCAUUUGAGCGAGUGUGCUUGUGCAUGUUUGUUGAUUUGUAUUAAUGUCCUAGGAUUGUAGUUUGUGUUUUCAUGAUCCUUUUUCCGAAUGCACUUUUGCGUGAGUACUUUUGUGCAUGCUUUUGUACUUUUACUUAUGUGCGUAUCUUUUCGAGCAAGUGUUUUUGUGCACGUUUCCUGAUGCGCAUUCAUGUCCUCGAUCUGUAGUACGUAUUUUCAUGAUCUCUUCCGGAAUCCAAUUUUGACCAUGUUCGAGUCCGAAUUUGGAUUUUUUCCGUAGACAGGAAUUCUAGCAGCUGAAAUAGCUUUCUAAUGCCGCCGUAACUAGUUGAUUUGGAGUCCGGAUGAGAAAGUUAUGCUCGACUUCGUGGACACUACCACAAAUGUUGAGAGAUUCUCUCUUCUAAUUUGAUUUUAUUUUCUUAAUUGCAACUCUUUUCUUACUCUUUGAUCAUUUUUGCUUCCUGGAAACCUAAUUUUCGAUUUGUACCUAAAAGAUACCAAAUCGACCAAUUAAAACAAAAAUAUAAAUUAAUCCAAAAAAAAAAUCCACGUAAACGUAAACGUAGAGUUUCAUUUCUACACUCCACUGUAUCUUUUUUAUCUAGUGUUUUUGCUGUUGUUUGUUGAUGCGUAUUAAAGUCCUAGUAUUGUAGUUCGUCUUUUUAAGAACGCUAUUGCGAAUGCACUUUUGCGCAUGUUUUUUUACAUGUAUGUUUGUGCAUGUCCAUUUGAGGGAGUGUGCUUGUGCAUGUUUGUUGAUUUGUAUUAAUGUCCUAGGAUUGUAGUUUGUGUUUUCAUGAUCCUUUUUGCGAAUGCACUUUUGCGUGAGUACUUUUGUGCAUGCUUUUGUAAUCUUACUUAUGUGCGUAUCUUUUCUAGCGAGUGUUUUUGUGCACGUUUCUUGAUGCGCAUUCAUGUCCUCGAUCUGUAGUAUGUAUUUUCAUGAUCGCUUUUGGAAUCCAAUUUUGAACAUGUUCGAGUCCGAAUUUGGAAAUUUCCCGCUUGACAGGAAGUGUAGCCUGCUGAAAUAGCUUUCUCAUGCCGUCGGAACCAGUUGAUUUGGAGUCCGGAUGAGAAAGUUAUGCUCAACUUCGUGGACACUACCAAAGAUCUUGAGGGAUUCUCUCUUCUAAUUUGAUUUUAUUUUCCUAAUUGCAACUAUUUUCGUACUCUUUGAUCCUUUUUGCUUCCUGGACACCUAAUUUUCGAUUUGUACCUAUAAGAUAUCAAAUCCACUAAUUAAAACAAAAAUAUAAAUUAAUCCGGAAAAAAAAUCCACGUAAACGUAGAGUUUUAUUUCUGCACUCCACUGUAUCUUUUUUAUCUAGUGUUUUUGUUGUUGUUUGUUGAUGCGUAUUAAAGUCCUAGUAUUGUAGUUCGUGUUUUGAAGGACGUUGUUGCGAAUGCACUUUCGCGCAUGUUUUUUUACAUGUACGUUUGUGCAUGUCCAUUUGAGCGAGUGUCUUUGUGCAUGUUUGUUGCUUUGUAUUAAUGUCCUAGGACCGUAGUUUGUGUUUUCAUGAUCCUUUUUGCGAAUGCACUUUUGCGUGAGUACUUUUGUGCAUGCUUUUGUACUUUUACUUAUGUGCGUAUCUUUUCUAGCGUGUGUUUUUGUGCACGUUUCUUGAUGCGCAUUCAUGUCCUAUGCCAAAAAAUGUCAACCUUGUCAAUUUCAUGCAAACUUUAUUCAGCAACCGCCAGAGCCAUUACACCCUAUUGUUGCCUCAUGGCCCUUUGAUGCUUGGGGUUUGGAUGUGGUUGGACCUAUGACAAAGUCUUCCGCUGGACAUCUCUAUAUCUUGGCAGCAAUAGACUACUUUUCCAAAUGGGCUGAAGCAGUGCCUCUGCGAGAAGUAAAGAAUGAGAACGUUGCCGAUUUCAUCCGCAUCAACAUCAUCUACCGUUAUGGAGUUCCUCGAUAUGUGAUCACAGACAACGGAAAGCCAUUCUGCAACGGUGUGAUAGAUAAACUUUGUCAAAAGUUUGGCUUCAAGCAAAGAAAGUCUUCAAUGUACAACGCUGCCGCCAAUGGACUCGCCAAGGCCUUCAAUAAGACUUUAUGUAAUUUGCGGAAGAAAGUGAUCGCCAAGUUAAAACGUGAUUGGCACGAAAGAAUAAGAGAAGCUUUAUGGGCUUUUAGAAAAACGUAUAGAACAUCUACUCAAGCCACUCCAUAUGCGUUGGUGUACGGUGUGGAAGCAGUCUUGCCUCUUGAAAAACAAAUUCCAUCAUUGAGGAUACCUAUACAAGAAGAACUCACUCAAGAAGAAAACGCUGGUUUGCGUGUUGCAGAAUUGGAAGCUCUUGACGAGAAAAGAUUAGAGGCACAACAAAGUAUUGAAUGCUACCAAGCUCGUCUUUCUAGGGCGUUUAACAAGAAGGUGCGGCCGAGAUCGUUUCAAGUUGGAGAUUUGGUACUUGCCGUAAGGAGGCCCAUCAUCGUCACACAUAAAACGGGAAAUGAAUUUACUUCAAAGUGGGAUGGUCCUUAUGUCGUCAAAGAAGCAUACACAAAUGGAGCGUACAAGUUGGUUGUGGAAGAUGGUUUAAGAAUUGGUCCGAUAAAUUGAAAGUUCUUGAAGCAGUACUAUGCAUGAAGCGGAGGAGAAGGCUCCUGGCCCGCAUGAGUUGAAACUGUGCAUGGCUAAAAAAAAAAAAAAAUUCUAUCUUUUUUUUUGAACUACGUUAUGACUUGAUCCCAUUCGGGGUACGUAGGCAGCUUAGAUAUUCUCUAAGUUCAGUCCUUUCCUAAAAAAAAAAACAAAAAAGAAUCUAUCUUUUUUUCUUUGAACUACGUUAUGACUUGAUCCCAUUCGGGGUACGUAGGCAACUUACAUAUUCUCUAAGUUCAGUCCUUUCCUAAAAAAAAAUCUAUCUUUUUUUUUUGAACUACGUUAUGACUUGAUCCCAUUCGGGGUACGUAGGCAGCUUAGAUAUUCUCUAAGUUCAAUCCUUUCCUAAAAAAAAAAAACAAAAACGAAGAGCUGUUGAACGCUUCAACUUGGCUAAUGAAGAAGGCGAAGGCUGGGCGAGAGACUAGGCCAACUUAAUGCUUACUGCCAUGCCAUGGUUGAAGCUUUAGGCUCCAUAGACGUUAAGGUUAGCAGCAAACUCCCUAUUGGUUCACUGCCUAUUACAGAAAAUCAAGUCUCAAGUUAAUUAUGCGAGACAAAAGGAAGUUUAAAAAGAACCACGAAGGUUAGACAAAGACAGCAUAGAAAAGAACUCGAAUCCUAUAUAGUUGACGCAUAAUGGAAGCACGGUAAAGAAUUAAUUUCACGAAUUAAUCCUAUAGAGUAAAAUAACAUUCGAAAUCCACCAUAAAUUAGAGAAAUCUCUAAAUAUUUUAUUAAAAUUCGAAAAUUCUUCUCAAAAUAAAGUCCUAAAGCAACUAUUUAUACUAAUAAAACUGAAAACCCUAAUUAUACUAAGAAAAUACUAAAAAUUACCAAAAACGGAAAAAACGAGUUAGAUCCUGAUUCUAGUAGAUCUCUUAAUUUUGGGAACAACCCAAUUUACUGAAUCCUAAUACGAUAAUUAUAUGAUUUGAUAUUAAUUUUCUAAAACUUGCAUAAAAUAGCAAAAACGAACUUUUAGGAGUCUACACGACGUUGGAUUGCUCAAAUUUGAUGUGAUUCAUGAGCUUUGCUCAUGAGUUUUGUUCCUUGCGCCGUUUCACUUGAGACAGAGUUCGUUUCGUACUCAAAUACAAUUUGAGUUCGUAAAAAACCCUUAUUUUUCCAUAAUUUCUUUCGAUAUUUCCACCAAUGCGCAAUGCCAUUAAUAACUCUUCUCCGAAUUAAAUAGUUAUUUUGCAAUUCGAAUCAAAUUUGACGUUCCUUAUCAAUCUCCUCUUCUUCAAAAGAGCUCGACCUCGAGCUAUGAUAAAAUAUAAUGAUGCAUAUUACUUUGCAAACAACUUCAAGUGUUCCACCAAUCUUCCCGACACAAAAAUCUCGCUUACAAAAUCUUUGUCCGAACGAGGCAUUAGAAAAUUGGCUUCUUAAUCAAAAAUCCCAAUGGUUCCACCAAUUUCUUCGAUACAAAAACUUCACAAGAAACACUAUCAAAAUUAGAUCACAUACCUUUGGAAUUCUUCUUUCUUUAGCCGGGAAAUAUUCUUCGUAGAAUAUUUUCUUCCGUAUUCGAUUCGAGAGUUUGAGACACAAAGUAACGUUCGUUGUACUCGGGAUUUUGAGUGCUCAUAUGCCGAGUUAGCCGUUGUAUCUUGGGAGAUCAUUGCCAAAUAACCGUAAGCACUGUAGCGGGGCAAUAUUGUCUUAAGGAAAGAGUUUUCUCGCCUCGGCUAAUCUUUUCGUAUUUUAACUAAUUAAUUUGUUCGAUCAUUUUACUAAAUUCACUACCCGUUUCAUAUACCGGGAACAAUAAUCUUAAGACAAUAAUUUGUGUGAUUUAGUAAAGUGUGUUUUCUGCACACGUUGGUAAACGGGAUGGAAAAGAAGAUAGUCUGCCAAAAAUCAAGAAGUUACAAAAUCAAAUUGGAGAAAAGUUCAUUUUCGGACAAAACAUGAUGUCCACGUUCCUUCCCAUUUUCGAAGAUGUUAAAGUACGAAUGUGAAAAAUUAACAUGUCACAGAAGUUGCAGAUAAUCAAGUUGGCUUUCCAGAACAUGUUAAAUCUUCACAAUAGGAGAUUGUACGGAGGAGUUAUGGUAAAAACACGAAAGAGUGUCAAAACUGCCAAUGCACCUUUUCAUGUAAACUACAACCGUUCGUGACCAAUGCAACUUGUCGCAUAUUAAAUGCCUCACCGAUGUCCAAUGCACGGAAUUUUGGUGAAAGAAGACUGAGUCGAAGAAUAAUGAUGAGGUUUUAUAUUAUUUUCGAUUCAUGAAUAUUAUUUUAUAUUUUUUGUGGUUCCAUUGUAGGUGCAUUUUUACAGCACACCUAUUCUGACUUCGAGUCUUACUUUGAUCAUGAUCCAGUUUCAAUCUCAGAAAAUGUGAAAGAUAAAAGUUGUAGAAAGUUUUGUUGGCUAUUCGGAUCAUAUUAAAUCAACAAAAUCGAACUUCAAACAGAAGAGAUAUGAUUAAAUCAUUCAGCACUGCCAUAAUAUUGACACGAUUUGGUACUACCCACAAAAUUUUGAAUUGACGAACAUAUAAUUUAUCGGGUACGCUUUUUUAUUAUAAGAUAUCUAUUUGUGCAAUAAAUUGAUAACUUUAGAUGAUAUAAUGGUGGAGUAUUGCAUGAUAGUUCAAUUUUCAUAUGUGGAAGCAUGGUAAACCAUAUAAAAUAUAUAUGCUUCAAUGAAUAUUCAUUAUGUUUGUGUAUCUACAUUAAUGAUCCAAAUAAUUUUAUCCUAAAUGCAAUAACGUGAUAGCGUAUGUGCUAAUUAUUUAAAUAAGUUUAUUAUAAACCGCAUGAUAUGUGCUAUACUACAUGACAUUUCUCAUGAAAAUGCAAUAUUUAUUUGCAUGAGUUGCAUAUUGUUUUGAUAGGGGAUUGGCUUUCUCCCAAUUUUUAUUUGAUGUGGAACCGUCCAGUUGAUUAAUUUUUGAAUAUGUUAUAUGAAAUUUGUGAGUACGUGAUCUUAUUAACGUUUUUAUUAUUGUCUACGAACGAUUAGACUUGUCUCGUAUAUUAAGUAUGAGUUACUUAGUAAGAGGAAUAUUAUUAUAUAUAUUAUUAUUUGCGUAAGCCAUAUUAAUUCCUCAUAAUUUUGUUAUUGCAUGGACAUGCAUUGAUUACGUGCUAUAGAAUUUACAUCAUCAAUUCAUUAUGUUGGAUAUAAAUUAGUUUAUACCAUGAAAUAAUAUCCAAACUUGGUGUUAUUAUGUACUCGUGCGUCUAUACUAUGUAUAUGUUGAUAACGUAUGCUUGAUCUAUUGUUUCUUUCUAGGAUCUACUAGUAUGAAAAUCGUGGUCACAUGUCAAAUAUUAUGUUUAUUAUAAUAUUGAUGUACAUAUGUUUUAUAUAUGAAUCAUACUACAAUGCAAUUAAAAGCAUGAUUGAAAUGAAAUAGAAAGAAAGAGAAGCUCAAUUCAUGAGAGCACAUGAGUAGUGCUUGUCUCAAGAACACAAAACAAGAUCGAAUCGUUGGUUCAAUUUGAUUUGAUAUCACAUUUGCAAGAUUAUGAUCUACAAUAUGAAUGGAUGAGAUUGAAUUUUGAUUUUUCAAACAUCCGAAAUAGUUGUAAACAACAAUGGAUGUUUUGUUAAGAUCUCGUCUUGUAGAAUUAAAUCGUUGGAUUUGGCAUAAAUUUGAACUGUAUGUUUAGGACAUACAAUCCUAAAUUAUGAAUGAUUAAGAUUAUAAUUUAUAUAUUCUAACUUUAAUAUAUUGAAUACUAGUGGAGAUCAACCACCAUUUCAAGACAUUAAUAUUCUCUUGUUUAUUGACAAGAUUUAAGUAUCUUGACGAGUUUUCUCUUUUUGAGGAAAAGAAAGAAAUCUUAUUAUCUUAUUUGUUGACAAGAUAUAAGUAUCUUGAGAAAUUUCCUCUUUUUGUGCUUUCUUUAGAGAAAGAAAUACAAUUCUUUGUAAUUAAAUCAUAUUGGUGAUCCAAUAUAUUUCUCUUAAUAAAGAAAUGUAUUUUUUUAUAUUGUAUAUCCUUAUUAAUAUAUAAAAUAAGGAUUUCAAAGCAUUUCAAUGUUAUGUGAUGAAAGUUGGAAAAUGCCAACUUUGACAAAUGAAUUAAAAAAUGAGUACUGAAACUUUUGGAAAAAGUUUAUGGAUAUCAAAUUGAUAAUUCUAGAAUACAUACUCUAGAAUUUGUUGGGGAAAUUAGAUAUCCCGGGCUAACCACAUUAAUAUUUAGAAAUGUGGGGGUCUUUAGGCCCUAACCACAUAAAUUAGAUAUCCCGAGCUAACCACAUUAAUAUGUAGAAAUGUGGGGGGUGUUUAGGCCAAGGUAAAAAAAUGCCUAAGUUAAUAUAAGGCCUCGUAUAGUCAAGUGGAUAUAUAUUAAAUAUGUAAAUAAUGAUUGUGCACGAGAUAGUCACUCUUGAUGCAAAUUGAUUAUAUUGUGUUUUAUUGAAAAUAAGAAAAUAAAUAAGUUUUAAAUAAGAGAACUUAUAAAUAUGUAAGUGGUAAAUCAUCAAAGUGAUGAACAACCAAGUUAAAAUAUGUAUGAGUGGUAAAUCAUCAAGUGAUCAACAACCAAGAUACAACAAGAUGGCUAAGAAAAUCAAUAUGUUUGAUUUUUUAACUUAUGAGUUGUAAAAUGAACGAAGGACAAUUAUUGAAAUAUUGUCUACAUUGGAAGAAUGUACGUGGAAGUUAGUUUGUCUUCUUCCAAGUAGUAAACCAUUAAGGUUUAAAUGGACUAUUCAAAAGAAGGAUUAAUGGUGGUCCUAUAUAUAUAUAUAUAUAUAUAUAUGUUUGAAUCAAAGACGAGGGUCUAGACGAUGUAAUCUUAUAGAUUAAACUCGCUAAGACAAAGAUAGUCUUAUUGAAAGUCUUGAUCUAGUUGUCUGAAGACCAGGUCUUCACUUUGCCAAAAAAAUGAUGAACAAUGGUUCAAUAACAAAUAAUUUUGGAUAGUUUGGCAAUAUAUUUUUUUACGUAAUCCCAAAAUAAAAAAAUCAUCCAAUGAUAUUAUAAGGGUUCUUAGGUAAUCUAAGUAUCGCCUUUAAAUGGAUUACACUAGAGAAAAUAUCCAAUUUUAUUAGGAAAUUACAUUGGAUAUAUGAGUCCACUAAGAUUAUGUAUCUUGGAAAUCCUCAAAGAAAAAUGAAUAGCUCGAUUCAUGGUAGAAUUUGAAUAUAUAGCUUCAGAUAAAGUUAGAAAAGAAAUUGAAUAAACUUCACAAUAUUAUUGGAGGAUGUUAUGUGUUGGACUAAGCCGGUGCCAGCAAUUAUGAAUAAAUUGUGAUAGCCAAUCGGUUAAGAUAAGGGCACAAACAACAUGUAUAAUGGCAAGUAUCGACACACUCGUACACAUAAGACCAUUAGGAAAUUGUUCUCAAAAGAAAUAAUAUAACAUUGAUUAUGAAAAUCAAUGGUUAAUAGCGGAUCCGCGACUAAAAGUCAACUAAAGUGAUCAAACAUAUUGCCUGUCUAGGGGAGUGAGAUCAAAACCCAAAAAUUAAGAAUUUCUAUAGUGGUAACCCAACCAUGAUGACUGGUGAUCCCAAGAACUGGUUCAAAAGGGACAACUAAGCUAUUGAAAUUCAGUGAUGCACUAAGGAGUAUAUAUUUCUAUGGAAUUAUAUAUUUCCAAUUCAUUGCCGCGAUAGACAUUAGUGCUGCCUGCAGAGAGGGUAAAGGAUAAGCAAAAGCUCUUAAUAAUUCCAAAACCUUGACAAAAGGUGAUGUAUUGGCAGGAUACCUUUAAUAGGACAUCACCUAUCUGGGUGUAAAAGUGUGGGCCGCUUCAAAAUGACAAACACUUAUGAAUCCAAGAUGUGCUCCAGGGCCAAAAUGGACGCAACCAUGAGAACUGAUGAAAUGUGGGAAAACUAUUGUUUGGAUAUCAUUGUCUUGUUUUACACAAACGGCUGGCAGUUCAAGACAUCGCGUUCACUAACUAUGCAAGUAAAUCCGAUGGUAUGCCGCUAAGGAAGGUUCAACACCAAAAGUUACCUAUCCCCAAUGCAGUAGUUUCCACUUGAAAUCUCGAUAGAAUCCAUCGUUUUUCGUUAAUUUCACUCACGUGGGGAAUUGUUGGAAAUUUUAUUUAUUAAAAGAAAAUUAUUUUUAUGAAAAUUAAAAAAGGUUUUUAGGCACCUAUUUGAUCAAAUAGGUGUGACAAUAUGAAGAGGUGUGACCACACCUUUUCAUUUGUUUAAUUUCCUAAGGGUUGUGUUCAUUAAUCACAAUCAUUGAAAACUUAUAAUAGAAACUCCACAUGUUUGAUUGAACAACAUAACAAAAAUCAAUUCAAUUCCAUAAUUUUGUUCUAUGGAAUUCUUCUUUCUUUAGCCCGAAAAUAUUGUUCGUAGAAUAUUUUCUUCCAUAUUCGAUUCGAGAGUUUGAAACACAAAGUAACAUUCGUUGUACUCGGGAUUUUGACUACUCAUAUGCCGAGUUAGCCGUUGUAUCUUGGGAGACCAUUGCCAAAUAAUCGUAAGCACCGUAGGGGGGCAAUAUUGUCUUAAGAAAAGAGUUUUCUCGCCUCGGCUAAUCUUUUCGUAUUUUCACUACUUAAUUUGUUCGACCAUUUUACUAAAUUCACUACCCAUUUUAUAUACCUAAUUUUAACCAUAAUCCUACUCCUAAUGCUAAUCAUAAUCCUAAUACUAAUACAUGUCACUAAUUGUAGUACUAAUCAUAAUCAUAAUUUUAAUGUAAUUCUAAUACUAAUAUUAAUUAUAAUCCUAAUCAUAAUUCUAAUAUUAAUUAUAAUAUUAUAUUAAUCCGAAUCCUAAUUCUAAUUAGAAUACUAAUACUAAUUCAAAGAAUAUUAAUUAUAAUCCUAAUUCUAAUGUUAAUACUAAUCAGAAUCCUAAUUCUGAAUUUGUAUCAAUAAUUUUUGCAAUGAUGUAUUAUUUUGUAUCAAAAAUAAUUAUAUUCAAUCUGGCAGCCUUUAUAUCAACUUCCUUAUUGGUGGUAGCUAAAGAAUCCAAAAACACAUAUUAAACAUACUAGAAAUUAAUAUUUAAUUAUAUUAUCAAACUGACAUUAAAAUUAUUUAAAAUAUUAUGAGGGUAUACGCGAACGUCAAGACGUAAAAAGAAGAAUAGUCGUUGUUAAUAGGAUAAAUUAUGAAAAUCCUCUUGUACUUUGGCUAAAUUACGGAAAACACCCUCAUUUAUCGGUAAUUACAAAAUUCUCCUGAAGUUUGUAUCUAUCUUACACGAGCCCCUUAAGGUGUGAUUUUUUACGGAAUCUUUUUUAUUCCAUGUAAUAUCCCAAAAAACUGUGGAUUCUAUCCUUGUAGACGUGACAUUUUUUUUUAUCUUACUUUUUAAAUACAAAAAAUACCCUUAGGGGAGGUAAAGGUAAUAUUAGAAAGUUCUGAAGGUGUUAUUUAAGAAGAAUAAAUUAAGAUUCCUUGUAUAAUCUCCCUCAGGGUAAUUUUUUUCAUUAAAAAGUACCAUAAAGAAAUGUCACGUGUGCAGGAUAGAAUCAACAUUUUUCGGGGAAUAUUCCAAGUAAUAAAAAAAAUCCGUGAAAAGUCAUACUGUGAGGGGGUCGAUGUAAGACGGAAACAAACAUUAGGGGAAUAUUGGUAAUUACGAAGAUGUGGGGGUGUUUUUCUUAAAUUAGCCGAAGUUCAGGGGGUUUUCGUAAUUUAUCACAAUUAAUAUACAAGUUAAAUUGAUUUACACGUAUGACCAUAUAUGUUAGAAACUAAUAUAAAGGCUGAUGCUAAUAAAAAUAGAUCAAAUUUCAAGUAAACAAAAGUCACUAUAAAAUUCUUCUAUAGAUAAUGAAUGGAAAAAUAAAAAUUAAAUGAUUUUUUUUGUGUAAACCAGUCGAAUAUAUUGUGAUUUCAAAAAUAAAAUAGAGAUAGAGGAUCGAUAUUAGAUUCUUAUAAACAUUAUAAAAUAAAUAUUUUUAUUUUACAAAUAUUGUAAAAAUGUAGAUUAACAAAAUAAAUAUAUCUUAUUAUAUAUGAUAGGGAAAUAGAAAACUUAAGAAUAUUUCACUAAUUUAGAUACGUAACUUGUAAGUUUGACAAAGGAACUUAUGUAUUCCAAUAUCAAAAUAUAGUGAGAUAUAUACGGUGUUAAAAUAUUUAAUAAUCAAUUAUUUACGCUAUAUACCCUAUAUUAAUAUUUUUAUUUUCCUAUGAUUUAAAAAUUUAAUUGUAAAAAUUAGUCAGAAUAUUUAUAACUAAACAUUUUGUUUCCAUGAUGGAUGUCUAUAUCUUUACCCACACUAUAAUGAAUUGUAGUAAAUCUCGUAUAAGUUCAAUAUGAUACCAAUAUCGUACCAAAUGAAAUGAUAACCACUAAUUUGAUAUUUGUUAGAUAACUUUUUAUUGGUAUACUAUGAUACUUGAAAUGUAAUAACUUUUUCCAUCCAUAGCAACAAUAUUGCAUCAAACUUUCUCAAUUUGGAAAGAUACACACGUAAUUAUGCAAUUACUUCUUUUAUAAUUUUAGUCUUCUAUAUAAUAUAUAAAUAUCUUAUUCAGUUUGUAACUAAAAAUGGAUCGUAGAAACUACUGAUUUGCCGACUGAUAUUGUAUUUGUUAAUGUAAACUAUUUAAAGUAACAACACCUCGAGUGGGGUCAUUAAAUGGGUUAUCAAAACAUUUAAUCAUUAUUUUCAUACUAAAAAAUAGUAAUUUUAAUUCCAAUAGUUUUUUUAUAAAAUAAGGGUUGUAUUUUGAUAUUUCAACUUUCGGAAUGUAAAAAUACUUCAUCCGGAAUAAAAUAUCAAACAUGAGUUACGAAUUUAACCACCUCAGUGUCCAUUUAGAAAAUGACAUGUGGCAAUUAGAUAUAUCAAUCAAUUUAAUUAUUUUUAAUUAGCAACCAUUUAAUACCUAUGGUUGGAGCAUAUUAAAUAUCACAUAAAUAUUGGCAAAAUCAUUUUGAUACUUUUGAGUUGGAGUUGCUCUAGAUAUGUACUUAAUUAUAUUUAUCAAAGUUAUAGAGAAAUACUUAUUAGUGAAAUAAGAUAUAUAGUAUAUACGAUCAUUAUACAUUUUAAACAAAACAACAAAUAUUCUUAAUUUUUGAUAUUAAAUAAAGUGAAUAAAAGAAUUUAAUACCAAAUAUUUAUAAUAGUAUUGUUAUAUUUUGAAAUAUAUAAAAUCAAUAUUUUUUUAACAAUUGAUUAAACUUAACUUAUGUUCUUCAAUUUGUUAGUAUAAUUAUGAGAAAGUUUGUAUUUUAAUUAGUAUAUAAUUCAAAAAAAUUAAAUCAAUCAUAAAAUUUAUUGUCACUGGAUUUGGUGAAGAAAAAAGAAAACUUUAAACAAUAACAUGAAAUUCAGGUAGUAUAAUUUUCAAUAUAAUAAAUAAUUGGGAUAAUAUUACUGCACACAUGGCAUAAAAAAAAUAAUGCCAAUUUCGGCAAUAUAGCGAAUUCGAACAUGAAUCUUCCGUUUAUAUAGAUAAUGAUAAUAUAUAAUAUUAAAUUAGUACACAAAAAAAAGAAGCAUAUUCUUUGAUUAUGUUCAUGUAAAAUGUAUAAUAUAAUAAUAUCAAAUGAUUUAUUAUGCAUAUUUUUUUAAUAUAAAUCCAAAUUUAUUAAUUAAAAUACAAAAUUUCCGUAACAACACAAGUAAUGCAACUGCAAUAAGGGAAGACUUUAAAUUGAAUUUAACUAAAUUUAAAUUUGACUAAUUACUAUUAAAAUUAAAUUCAAAAAUAAAUCUAUUUAUAGUUUCCAAGAUAGUUGAUAUAUUUAGAGCAUUUAUACUCUCUCCGUUCCUUAUUAAGUGUCGUUUUUUGCUUUGCACAAGUAUUAAGAAGCUCAAUAAAUGUGUCUUGAUUUUAGGUAAAAUAUAUUAGAAAGACUAAAAUAACCUUAAUUAUUUAAUGAUGUGGAGAGAGAGUUAAAACUUAUAGUUGAAUUAAUAAUGUUAAAAUAGGAAAAAAUGCAUUUAAUGUAGUAUUGGAAAUCUAAAGUGACAGAUAAUACGGAACACAAAUAUUUUUAAAAAGAGACAGUUAUUAUGGAACGGAGGGAGUAAAUAGUAGGAUAUAAUAUAUUAAUAAAAUAAUAAAAUAUAUUUAAUUAUCUUUAAUUUUGGAAAUGGUGACAUAUUUUUUGAUAAUUUAUUUUCACCAAUUAAGUUGCCACAUGGAAUGAAAUUGAAUACAUGUCAUCAAUUGAAAUUGCCAAAUGUCAAAUAAUUGAUGAUGAAAUUCAACUUUUAUAUAUUAUAUAGAUAUAGAUUAAUUUUUUUUUUAAAUAAUUGUCACUUUAGAAUUCCAAUAAAUUAUUUAUUGUGCUUUUCUCAAUUAUGCCCUUACUAAACUUAAGAGAAUUACUAGUAAAACAUUUAUGAAAGUGGUUUUUUAGUUAUUUUAUAUUGAUUUUUCUAGAAUCUAUGCACAAUUAUUAGUUUUUCAAAUGUGUGUGAAUUAUCCUAAAACGACAAUUAAAAUGGGAAGGAGGGAGUAUAUAAUAAGGUGUAAAAUAAACAUGCAUGGCCGGUUCUAACUAUAGACGAGAGAGGUGGACGCCUCGAGCCCCCGAUUUGAAAAACAAAAAUAGGGGCCCCAAAAUAAUGUUUUGAAUUCUAUAAAAAUUGAGGCCCCAAAACAUAGCAACUACAAUGGUACAUAUAAAAAUUAAGUUAUCAAAUACUCAUUUGAAUUUGAGAUAAUAUUUUAAUAUUAAUUUAAAAACCAUCUACUCCACUCAUGAUUAUAAAAUUAAUUUUAAUUGGAAGUUUAUGGGUGAUUUUAUUUAAAUUACGGCAUGUCAACUUGUGAUUGGUUGUUUAAGUAAUUACAUUUUUUGUUAACUCAAUUUCCAGCUAAUAUUUUUACAUCCCAAGAGGUUAAAUAAAAUACAGCACUCAUUUGAUAACUCCAUUAGUAAAAAAAAUUCUAUUUUUAAAUAUGUAAAUGGUGGUUAAAGGUUUAAAUACCCCAUUUGAUAACUCCAUUUGAGUUUCUCUUAUUGUUAAUUGAUAUUGAAAAUAUAUAAAUAGUUCAACGAUGAAUAACCAUAACUAUAUUAUUUUACGUAUUUUAAGUAUUUUGAAAUGGUUUGCACUCAUUCUUGGAUUUGAUGUAAAUCAAAUUUCUUAGAUCAAUUAUAAUUACUAAGAUUGAGUUUAACUAUCAAUUGUUUUCUAUUUUAAUUUUUUUUUUCCUAGCAAUCUUUGCAUUUUUUUUGGAUUAAUCCCAUUUUGCACCCUUGAAAUAUACCAUUUUAGCACUUUGCACCCCCAAAAAAAUUAAUAGCACUUUGCACCAUGGAAACACAAUAAAUCAUGCAUAAUGCACCCCAAAUGAAUUUUUAAAACUAAUGAAGGUAAUUUAAUAUUUUAAGUGGUAUUUUUUAGGAUGACAAAUGUCAAAUCUCUCUUUUAUUCAUCAAUUAUUUUGAAAUUAUAAGUGCAAGAAUAAAAUACAUCUCAUCAACAUAUUUAAUUUUUUUUUAUCACUAAAAAAUAUUUAAAGAACAAAAACCGUUCAGCUAUUUCGUUAUCAAGUUAUAUGAAAAUCAUAUUAUUUCAAAUAAAUUUAGCUAAUAUUUCCACCGGUUGCAAUAAAAGAUCCAUCAACCAAAUAAUUUAGUGAAAAAGGUUUAUUUUAUUUUGUUAGAAAAUAUAAUUGUUUUUAAUAAUCCGGUGUGAUUUUUAUUCUUUCACACUUUAUGCGCUCGAAAUUAGGUUGGAGGUUGAAGAAAAUAACAAUUUAAUUUGUUAUUUUGUAUUUCGAAAAAAAAACCAAUAAAAAAUGAAAUUUCCUUUAUUAUUCAAUUUAGGGUGCAUCGUGAAUGAUUUAUUGUGUUUUGAGGGUGCAAAGUGCUAUUAAUGUUUUUCAAGGGUGCACAGUGCCAAAAUACUCCAUUUCAAGGGUGCAAAGUGGAAUUAAGCCCAUUUUUUUUAGGGAUAAUUAGGGAAAACCCACUCACCUUGGAAAUAUGGUUAAGGAAACACCCCCUCCCAAAAAAUAAUUAGAGAAAACCCCCUUAUCUAAUAUUCCACCCAUGUGAUAUUUUCAUAAUUUUAAAACUACACUUAAUUGUCUAUUAUACUCUUUCAAAACCCUAAUAUUAUUUUUAAUUUUUUAUCCGCCGCGUCACGCUCCAACUUUUCUCUUCUUCUCUCUUUUCUCUUCUUCUCUGUUUCUCGUCUUCUUUGUUUUUUUUUCCCUAUGUUUUCUCCGGCAAUCUUCUCCGCCGCCACCGCCGCCGGAAGAUGGAGAAAGAAAGAAGAGGAAGCACCCAUCAAACAUUAUAAAUGAUUUUGAUAGUGAUUCUGAAUUCGAAUGCCGAGAUUGGUACAUCGACGGCGAAAAGAGGUAAGAUUGUCGAUUUGUCACUUUGAAUCAGAUUUUGAUGGGCGGUGGUUUUGCUUUGGUUGGUGGUGCGAGUUGUGAUUUGAUUUAUUUAUUUGUAAUAAAAAAACCGUCAUAAUGUCAAAGUAAGGUGGUGAUGGUGUGUUGUGGCGGCGGUGUGGGGACGAUAGGGAGGCAGAUUUAGGGUUUUUUGGUGGAUCAGACGGAGGACGGCGCCUGUAGAAAAUUUCGCGCAGGCUGAAACCUUAAUCGACUAUGUACAUGUUCAUAGUCGAUUAAGCUAAUCGAUUAAGGUUGAUUGACUCCAAUUUUUUUUUUUUUUUUGAAUUUUUUGUUUAUUGAUUCCAAUUAUAUAAAUCAUUUAUAAUGUUUUUAUAUUUUUUAUUUUUGUAAUAUAUAGUUGAUUUUGCAUUUUUUUCGCAGUUGUGAUUUGUUAUUUUUAGUAGCAGAUUCUUAAUCGACCAUGCUUAACAUCAUAGUCGAUUAAUAUGUUUCAUUGACUCCAAUUAGUAAUGUUUUUUUAGGAUUUUUUUUUUUAUUGAUUCUAAUUGUAUAAAUCAAUUAUAAUGUUUGUAUAUUGUUUGUUUUUGUAAAUAUAGUUGAGUUUGCAUUUUUGUAGUUGUGAUUUGUUACUUUUAGUAGUCGGUUCCUUAAUCGACUAUAGUUCAUCAUAGUCGAUUUAAUAUGCUUCAUAAUCGAUUGACACACGUAAUAGAGAAUAAAGUAAAAACGAAAAAAAUAUGCCANNNNNNNNNNNNNNNNNNNNNNNNNNNNNNNNNNNNNNNNNNNNNNNNNNNNNNNNNNNNNNNNNNNNNNNNNNNNNNNNNNNNNNNNNNNNNNNNNNNNUAAUAAUAAUAAUAAUAAUAAUAAUAAUAAUAAUAAUAAUAAUAAUAAUAACAAUAAUAAUAAUAAUAAUAAUAAUAAUAAUAAUAAUAAUAAUCAUAAUAAUAAAAAAGGAAAGAGAGAAAGACACGGCUGUGUCAUGGGGAUAGUGGGUUGAUGGGUCAUGGCCCAUGGAGAUGUGUAAGGUGGAGGGACAUAAAUGGGAAAAUGAGUGGCUGAAAUUUGGAGGCCCUUUUUUUUAAUAACCUACAUUGCCUAUUUCUAACUUCAAAUUGUUUUGGGAAGUUGAAUAUACUAUAUUUUAUUUUAUUAUAUUUCAACAAAUGUUAGAUAUAUUUAAUUGUUCAAUAAUAUUUUCAUGACUAUUUAAAAUAAACUUCAAGGCUUUGCCUCGAACCUCUUAAACUUGUGAUUUACCUUAACUCCAUCAACAUUUUAGUCAUGUUUACUAAAAAGAUUCUUAACUCCUAAUAAAAAAAAAUCAAUCGUGGUCCUUACAACGAGUUAAUCUGUACAUUAUACGAUACAAAUAAGUCCCCAAUUUUAAGAAUUUUCAAAAGUCGCCUAGUGCCCAUAAUUUCUCCGAAACGACCCUGUAGACAUGCUAAAUUUCAAAUCUCAUGUCCAUUAUGGUUCUCACUAAAAACGGGUUCUCACUAAAAACGAAUAUUAUUCGAAAUAUCAUCUCCAAUAUUUAAACUAGAUAUUAUGAAUGUAUGCCCCUAAAAAAAAGUAAAGUAUGUACUUAAUGAAUGAGAGAUUAAUUAAAGAGUAUCGAAUAUACAUAGUGAAUGAAAGGGGGGACCAAAUCUAGAAUGGAGUGGACCUAAAAUUGAGAAGAUAACAAAAGAAUACAGCCUCGUCACAGCGCAUGUACCACCAAGUCACAGAUUCAUCAACAGAAUAGUGACAUUCACCGACUCAUACAUUCAUCCCUCUCGUGACAUAUUUUCACAUGGUUCACAAAUCACAACAUUUCAACCUCUUUACCUUAAUUAUUAGGAUCAUUGUCCCUAAACAAAUUUUAAUACAAGUGGCCUUUGGCCUCUAUCUAUAUUCAUUAUUUAAUCUUUUUUCUAGUCAUUAGUGCAUAUUUGGGGUUUAGCACUCAGCAUUCUUGUGUAAUUUCCUAUGUAGCACGAACAUAGAAACACGGAAACGGAUACGGGGACACGGUAUGUUCUGAAAAUGGGGAUACGGGAACUUGAGGGAAACGUGUAAAUAUUAAAAGUAUAGGGGUAUAUUUAUAAAUAUUUUAUAUAAACAUAUAUAAUUUUUUAUUUAUAUAUAAAUUCUUUUAAGAUAUUUUUAUACAAACAUAUUGAAAAUCAAUUUUACUAUCAACUAUCAACGAUAUCAACUUGCAAUUGAUCAUUAAAUCAUGUAGCAACAAAAAUAUUUGAAAGUUUACUAUUCAAACAUGUUUCUAACUUUUUAGAAAUUGCAAACUGGCCCAUAAGGUAUUCGGCAAGUGUCUUCGAGUUUCCGACACGAAACGUUUCCUGAACGCACAAAUGUUAAGAAGUUGAAGUUUUCGUGCUAAAUAGGUGAUUGCUAAUUGAAAAAAAAAAUAUCUGUGUUAAAAAAUAGCAAACCCCCUAAAAAUUUAGUCAAGGUCAAUAAAGCCCUUGCGCAUUCGUGUACUACACUCGCCUUAUCUACGACUAUGAGUGUAUUUUUCGACGUGAUAAAGACCCAAAUAUUCUUUAAAUGAAAAAUAUUAUUAAUUUGUUUCUUUAUCUUUUUUUUCCUGUUAUUUUGCUGGUGUGGAGGUAAUAUAAUUUUUUAUUUAUUUAUAUUUUAUAUCCGUAUUUUUUUUUUGCCUUUUAAAAUUGAAAUAUUAUUAAAAACAUAAGGAUAAUUUUGUCUUAGUUACAACUAAGUUUGAUAUAUGGAGCGGUGUGCAAAAUAGAACACAACAUAUAGGGUUAUGUGCUAAUUUCUUUAUUAUGAGGAAUUUUUUACACUUUCAGAAUAACAAGAGGGGCCUGUGCUAAUAUCUCGUAUAUGUUUACUACUAUUUUCAAAUGGAAACAAUAUAAUUUAGUACAUAUUGAUUGCCGCAAUGUGGGAAUUUUUACUCCAAUAAAUGUUGAUUCUUUAUGGGCACCAGGUCCGCGUCAUCUACCCUAAUAGGCCGUUGAGUCACCAUGAAUCUACAUCCCUCCAUCGAAUACUUAUCGGACUAAGGGAUGGGGGUUCUGGGGGCAAGGACUUCACCUUUUGAUUCAAUAUAAUUUAGAUGGCACGAGAUUAAUUUUAUUUGAUUUAUAAACAAUUUCUUCAGCGAAAUAGACAACAAAAAUACUUAAACCUAUAAUUGAUAUCAUCUCACUAUGAGUUCAUAAUUUUCGUUCACAUGUAUUCCUUCCUCAAUCCUCAUCUAAACCACCUAACCUCCUUACAUCGCCCACAGUUUGCUUCCCCUAAAUUACCCUCUCCCCCACCAUCCCACCCCCAUCAUCCCCUCAUCCACCAAUUCCAACUUGAUUAUAUAGUGAAAAUGGCCAAAUAGUAAAAAAGAAAAAGAAAAAAGGCUGUUGAAAUUUGCUGCCAGUCGGUCGGCUUAUGAGAUCCUACUCCUAGAGAGAUAUUACUAUGUGUUUUUAAACUGUAAAUCUAUGUAAAUAACUACCCACUAAACCUACAUAAACAUAAGAGUGUGUGUCAUUAUGUGUAAAUUAAUAUUAUAAAAGUACAUGGUGUACUUCACCAGGUUUAGGUUCUACAAAACUGGGUUGUCCCAUAAUUCACGAGAUCCUAGACCGGAAUGAAAAUAAGACCUUUUAUAUUUUUUUGAAGUUAAACAUAUAAUAUAUAUAUUUUAUAAUAUUUGACAAUUAAAUUCAUUAAACAACAAAAUAAAUUACUAUAAUUGUUUUUAUUUAGGUUAAUUUUGUACCAAAAUAACUCGGUUGGUUUUAAAAUUUUGGACCAAUAAUAUAAUAAAACUACAGCUGGGCUUAUUGAAGUCCGUUAGUAGCAUAUCACUUAAACAAGAAAAAAAAAAAAGUAUAUAAUAUGGUUAAUGGCAAAGUGGCAAUGACAAGGGUACUUAAUUAACAAAAGGAACCUCUAAUUUUUUUGUUUUUCAAAUAUAACUAGCAUUUUUUCUCUUGGGAUAUUAUUUUUAAAGUGAAAAAAAAAUCAAUUUAAUACAUCAUAAGAAAAUAUUGUACACUAACAUAGUAAAAUUUAAUAUUGUGAUAUUAUUCAUAUUUUAUAUAACAUUAGUUUUUUUUUUUGAAGUCUUAUAUAUUAAUAUUUAUAAUCCAAAUAUAUAGAUUAACGUUUAACAAAGCGUAAUUCUAUCUUUGUCCCUUAAGAUUUGAGAUAUAUUGAUUAAAAAUAGGAGAUUGAUGAUUGAUGAAAAUAAAUAAUUAGAAAUUAGUAGAAAAAAAAUAUUAAAAUAAAUAAUUACAGAAAUAUUUUUUAGGGUUGCCCCGCGUUUCUUUCUCUGAUAUAUAAGAUUUCAGCUAAUUCAAAACUUAUUUUCAAAUAAGGAAAACCUUUUUAUAUAUACCAAAAUUACCCCCAAUUCCUUGAAACUCAAUUCAACUACAAUUUUAUGAUCUACACCCCAAUUUAGCCCAAUUUCACAAAUUAACCAAUUUUGACCCUUAUUCCAAUUUCGACCUGCCACCGCCGGAGACCGCCAUCAACUUUUUUGUUUUUUUGUUUUUUGUUUUUUUUUUCUGAAUUUUUUUUUCCGAGAGGUCAACCGCCGUUCUAUGGCGUUGACUUUUUUUUUUUAGAAUUUGUUUUUCUGUCAGGUCAACUGCCGGUCUCCGGCGUUAACCUUUUUUUUUUAAUAUUUUUUUUCUUAAAAAAAAUUUAAUUAAUGUUACUAUUUUUGCUGCUAAAUUACUGUCUCCAACAUUAAUUUAACUGUUAAUUGACUUUUUUUUUUUCUGAAAUUUUGUUUUUUCUUAAAAAAAAUUAUUUUAAUUAAUAUUACUCUCUUGAGUGCUAAAUUACUGUCUCCAACAGUAAUUUAACUAUCAGAGACAAUAAUUUAACUGUUUGAGAUAGUGAUUUUCCUGUAUUAUUUAAUUCUAUCGUCUUGACCUGCAAUUUUGCUGUAUUCGACCAUAAUGUUACUGUCUCAUGCAAUAAUAUUACUGUUUGUGACAGUAAUAUUACUGUUUGAGAAAGUAAUAUUCAUAAUAUUACUGUCCCAAACAGUAAUAUUACUAUCAAAAACAGUACCCACCAAGAACCCUAAACACCAAAACAAUCACAUAAUCAGCAAACAUUCACAAUGGAGUCGGAAAACAAGGAGACGGUGGUUUAUGAAGGUAGAUAACGUAAUAAAAUAUGUGUUAACCGUUUAUUUUAGCUUGUGUCUUGUUUUUUCUUUUGAAAAAAAAAAUCGCCGAUACCAGAAAUCGGUAUUCACAUUCCGUUUUUGAAAAAUAAUCAGUAUAAAUGUGCCGGUUUUCCAAACAAAAAUCGGUAUUGUAGUGCCAAACAUUCCAAAAAUAAAUUGGUGUGAAUAUGCCAACUUAAAAAAAAAAAAAAACAGCGCGUCGCCGAUUUCCUAGCUCCGAUUUCAAUCUCAAAAUUUAAUCCUAAAUUGACCAAACCAUUGCAACCUAACAUGAAAUAAACAUCGAUUAAUGUUCACCACGCGUAUUAUCAAGCAAUCAAUGUUCGUUUUCAAGGAAUCAAUGCUCGAUAAAUGUUUUCGAAUUUACCAACAAAAGUUUAGUAUAAAAGAACUUGUUGGUGGUGGUGCGGUGGUGGUGGUGUGCAACAGUGCAAGAGGGUGGGUUGUAUGUCGGCGUCGAUGAGGUGGUGAUCUCCCUGGUCGGCGUUGCGGCUGCGGUGGGUCGGACUCUUUUUCUUUUCUUGGUGGGUCUUGAACAAAUUAAAAAUAAAAAAAUAAGCUUGUGUUUGUAUUUUGGUAAUGGGCAUAUUCGUCCUCUUUGGUCUUGAUAUAAGAAAAUUAAAUAAAUUUGUGGGUUUGAACUAAGAAAUUCUUUUAUGUGUGUUUGAACAAAGAAAAAAUUGGGCUUGCACAUAUCCACCGCCAUUUGGGAGCCCUUAAAAUCAAACUUUUGUAGUGACCCAAAGCGCAGGCCCCUUGGGUAGCACGGUGCAUCGGUAGGUUUGUACCGAUGCAUCCUGUACUCCAUUGUUUCCGGAGCUUCAUGGAAUGAUGGAUGGGUAUCUUCUUAUACUUCUUCGCCUCGUUUUCACCUUUGUUCGCCUAGGUUGCUUUUUAGACACUAAAAUAUUACAAAAACUCGCUAAGUACGACAAAAUCUUGAUUCUAACUCCUAAAUGUAAUAAGGACUAAAAUGCACCUAUAUAAGACACAAAAAUAUAUACAAUUGCUCGAUACUUAGUUUAAAUGGAUGCGUAGAAGUGUACAUUAUAUUUGUACACUUAAAAAUAACAUACACAAGAAUGAAGGUCUUGUAUACAAAUGACAAAAAGUAAGUGCACGUAUCGAACAACUAAAAUAAUUGACAAUUAAUGGUUCUCACGAGAAAUAUUCAACUAUCUAAUUCUAAGCACUAGAUUCUAUCAAUUAUGUUCAAGCCCAUCCUACACCGUCGACUUCAGAGAUGGUGUAACUAAAUUGUAAUUAAAUUAAACUAAAAAAAACAGAUUAAAGAGCAAGCAAAAGCAAGUACUCGAAAUAAGAUUUGAAAGUCAUAGGAUUUUAUCUUCCCCCUAUGUGAUUAUCGAUCCCCCAAUUCUCUCAAUAAUGCAAGGAAAUAACUAGGAUUACAAACCUGAGAUGAUAAUUUAAUCAUAACAUGCUUCCGCGUGUAUUAUGAUUCUAUUAUUCAAGGCUAAGUUAUUGUAUUCCUACGUAAUUCAAUAAAGAACAAAGCAUUAAACACAAAUUUCAAUAAUGGCUACCUAGCAUGCUUAGUAUAUUCCUAUGAUAACGUGACAAAUGUUCUUUUACCAUAGUUCUAAUUCUUAAACCGAUCAGUCGGUUGUUGCAUUCAACAAAUCAAUAAAGCACAUAAAGUGCCCAGUUUCAUGCACUUAAGGAAAAAAAUAGAACAAGUAAUCUGAAAUUAAUCCUUGCAUAAAAUCAUAAAAAUUGAGUUCACAAAUCCCACAUAGGGUUCGAAUAAGAUCCUAGAAAAUAAAAGUUUAGCUACCCUGAAUUAUAAUAAACAUAAAAAUAUAAUUCAUAAGAAAAGAAACUAAAACGAUGCUUGAAAUCUUCGAGUUUUUCGUCUUCGCUUCUUGCUCGUUGCUCUAGAUUGUGUGAAUUCGGUCCAAUUUUCUAGCUUGAUAUUGUUCUUUAUAUAGUGCCAAGACUGGUUGAAAAUGGAGAGUUUCUUGUGCAGAUAAAACUCCUUAACUGCGCGAACGAGUGGCGUCGGACGUCCGUACGAAUUCCAGCUCAUUUUCUCGGACGGCCCUCCCAGAUGAUGAGACGUUUUGUGCAACCGGACGACUGUCUGAUUUUUAAGUGCAAAAAUAGGACGACCGUCCCUAGUCUCUUUUGGACUUCGGUUGGUUUUCUUUGAUUCUCGUCUGUAUUCGCUCCAUUUUUUACCGUUUCGACCUCCAUACUUCCGAUUCUUCAUUUAGUACCUGAAACACAUAAACUAGGUCUUUAAAUAUCAUAUACUCGAUAAAAUUUCGCAAAAGAUCUUCGUAAGAAAACAUAAAUCGAGUGUAAUAUAUACACUAAACACACCCCCAAACUUGAACUUUUACUUGUCCACAAGCAAACACCAGCAACUUUCAAAGAAGGAAAAUUAAUAAAUGCAUCUCAUCACAUAGAUUAAUGGCCAACUUCACGUUUUUAGAACUUUCAACUGUAAUAACACUUCUAAAAAAUUACAAGGUUAACAUUCAAUGACACUUAAUUGUUUAACAUUACCAAUAACCAAAAAUCAUGCUAUCUCUUCGAGUAUCCAAUAUUCUAUACUAUUUAUAAAAGUAUGAAUCUUAGGUGGUUUCUUCCAUUUUUUGUAUUGAAAAAAAUAUCCUCUAAGUAUGAUUUGAAGGACAAUUAAGUAAUAUAAGUUGAGAAUAAUUAAGUUCAUACAUAAUCAUAUAUAAUUAAAGGAAAAUAUGUCAAGUUUAAAUAUGAUAAUUUAAUGUGCAGGGCAAAACAUUUUUUUUUACCUACACGACCUUUCAUAUGUUUUGUGUACUGACCUUUUAUAUGGAAAAAUCAUGGUAAUUUAUACGAAAAGUUUCAUAACUGAAAAUGGAGCAUUCAAGUAUUUCAAUGUGUUUUUUUUUUCUUUUUUUUUUUGCACUUAUUAGCCGAUCUGAUGUCAAGAACGAGGAUGGGUAAUCCAUCGGUUACAAAUGGGAUAAUAACAGUUUUGGUCAUCUAAGUUUGCACGUUUUUUCACUUUUGGUCCCCUAUUUAUUACCGUCAACAAAAUACACUCUAAUGUUGUCAAAUGAUAACACAUUGGUGGUUCCCAUGGCAUGUUUGAUCGUCAAGAAGCAACAGUCAACGACUGAAUUAUGGCUGAACUUGGGGAAUUUAUUUUAGGAAAUUGCAAAAGACCUCUGUAUUAUUUUUAAAACUUUCUAAAAACACCUAAACUUUCAUUCAACCUCAGUUUCAACAAUUAACCGAUUUUAACCAAGUCCCUACGUCUGUUUGGCAGUCAAGAAGCAAGGUCAAUGGUUCAAUUAGAGCUGAAAUUUGGGAUUUUUGUGUGAGGAAAUUGCAAUAAGACCCCUAAAUUGUUUCAAAACGUUCUAAAACCGCCUAAAAUUUCAUGCAACCCUAAUUUAACCACAAUUUGACCAAUUAACCGAUUUUAACCAAUGACCCAAUUUUUUACAACCGUUGAUUAUUUUAUUUUAGUUCAUGUUGAACUUUUUUUCCAAUGUUGACUUUUUCUUUCAAUUGAUUUUCUUUUUUGCCGUCAUUGACCGAUGAUAAAUGUCAUGUUAAUUGCGUUGACUUUUUUUUGUUUUUUAUUUAAAUUGCUAAGUAGCGGAAAAAAUAUAAUAUAAAAUAAAGUCAAACCAACAACCGACGGGAUAAAUAAUAUCAUAAAAAAAUCAAAAUAAAAGAAAAAAGAAAAAAAAUCAACGCCAUCAAUGAUGGGAACAAAUUUAAGAAGAUAAAAAAUAUAUAUCAACAACCGGUGUUGUACCAAAAAACAAUUGUACUAGAGUGGUUUUCUCCUUUCCAAAUUAUUCCACACAUGCGUAAUUCAUCUUCUUCAUAUUUUUUUAGGAAGAAAUUUGGGGUGCAAAAGCGGUUCCACGAAGAAAAAAUGGAGAGGAAGAAAUUAGGGAUAUUUAAGAAUUUUUUAAAUUAUAUUUUGGUCCAAAAAUUUUAGAUUAAAACUUUUUUAGAAGUUUGAAAUUAAUAUUACGAUGCUAGAUAUUAGUAUAGUAGUAUUAUUGGGUUAUAUAGUAAUAAUACUGUGUUGAUCGGGAAAAAAAAUCAAUCAAAAAAAGAAAAAAAUCAAGAAAAAGAAAUGUCAACGUUGUUAAUCGGCAAUCCAAUGUCGGUGAAUGGCAGUAAAAAAAAUAUUAAAAAAAAUUAAAUGUCAACGCCGAGAAAAAGGUUAAAAAAAACAAAAAUCAAAGGCGGUCAACAGUGACGGUGGUAAAAAUCCGUGUCAUUGGUCAAAAUUGGUUAAUUCAUGAAAUUAGGUUUUGAUUAUGGUUCGAUAAAAUUUUAGGGGUUUUUAGAAUAUUUUGAAAUAAUACAUGGGUCCUAUUGAAAUUUUCUCAAAGAAAAAUCCCAAAGUCGGCCAUAAUUCAACCUUUGACCGUUACUUCUUGAGGGUCAAACAGACGGAUGGACACAAUGUACUACAAUGUGACAACAUUAGUGCAUUUUGUUGAAGGCGGUAAAUGAGGGACCAAAGGUAAAAAAUGUACAGACUUGGGGGAAUUACAAACAUGUUAAAAGUUUGCUAGCCGUUUUUUCUUUAUAUGGUGUAAUUUCAAUGCAAUCUUUUUUUUAGGAAAAACAAAAUUAAUGAAAAUAACCGUAACUAAUUAGUAGUAUAUAGAAAAAAACAUAUUGUAAUUUUCGUUCAUGUAUUUAUUUAUGCUCGUAAGUUGUAGUAAAUUAUUUUUAAAUUAAAAUUCCAUAACAUAUGAGAUUUAGUUGUUUGAUUGAUUAUUAAAAAUAUACUACUUAAUUUUGUGUAUCGGUUAUGAAUAGAAAUAUUUGUAAAAUGUUAUGAUUUUGAUUAGUUAAGUGAAAAGAUAAAUUGUUGAACCCAUAUAUAACACAUUUAAUACUCCACUUUGCCCAUGCGAGAAUUGCAGCAAAAAUGUGCAUAAACCAUGGCAUAAAUGUACAUUUAGUUAAUAAAUACUAGCCCAGAAAAAUCUUCCAAGAGUAAAAUUCGGUAUUAUACAAUCGCCUAGAUCAAUAUUAAUUUCAUCACUUUUCAAUUAUAUAAUUCAUAUUUUUCUUCUUUUAAUCAUUGUGUUUUUAUACAUUUCGGUUCGGUUCGGUUCGAUUUUGGUUUCGAUUUCGAUUUAAGGGUUUAGGGUUUAGGUUUUCAGUUUUGAUUUGUAUUUUCGGUUUCGAUUUUGUCCGGUUUUGGAAUCAAAUGAUUUAUUCAUUUUCAAUUGGCUUAAUUUCAUAAUCUACUUGAGGUGGCCCAAUACUGGUGUUGGCCCACACAUUCACUAAAGCUCAGUUCUUGAAGAAGCUUAUGGACUUCCAUUUUUACUGUCCAUAUUGGGUAGUCAAUCUUGUCCGUCCAUCAUGCCCCUUAAAUAAUUUACCCUAUACAUAAUUGGACUUCAGCUGCUAUGUACUUCUUCUCCCUGUACUAUCUAUUCUUCUGUUUUCUCUCUUCUUGUCUUCUUCAGGCGAUUUUCGUGUCAAAUGCCACCAACUAUGGCAGACUUUGACACUAAGACGGUUCAUCGGCCGAUGAGUGUUGUAUCUCAGAGUAUAAAUGUUUGCUGUAGACAUGGAGAGAGAGGGUAACAUACAAAUUUUGAGUGUUUCUAGGAGAUUUUUUUUUUGAGUUUUGGGCUGGUCAGUCAUAUCUAGACUUCUGGGUUGGUUUGAGGGUUUUAACACUUUAUGAGUUGAGUGUGUUGAAUUGAGUUUCAAGUUGAGUGCUUGACACCUAUUGGAGUCACUAUCAACUGAAUUUAAAGACGUGGAUUGGAUAAUUGUGGACUGAGCUUUUGAUACAACUCCAUCUCUAGGAGUUAUUAUUGUUUGGAACGAGAGUACCCAACAUGUUUUGGUUUCAGUUUUCGUUCGAUUCAGUUUCAAACUUUGGCUAUGGUCGAAAAAUGAAGGGUAAAGAAAUUCAUUAUUAACAAAACACAAAUACAAAUAACUGUUAAUUGAUCAGAAAAUAAAGUAAGAAUAUGUUUAAGUAUGUCAUUAUUAAAUAAAACUAGAUUACAUGUACAUUGUAUUAACAAAAAUUUACAAUUUAACAAGAUAUUUAUACAUUUCAUAAAGUUAAUGAUAUUAUUUUGGUAAAAUAGAGUAAGCACGACACAUAACUAAGAAAUACAUAGAAAAAUUCAUACGACACGUGCAACGCCUGUGCACCUGCCUUGUUGUAAUCUAAAAGUAAAGAAAAUUUAUACUUACAUAAGAAUAUUUGACUCCAAAUACACAUUGAAUGUCCUUGCUCCUCUAAUAUCGAAUAGUUGAGCCAUUGGGAUCACUAAGACCUUUUGGCUUUCAAUUGUUGGGCUCGUUGGUGCAAGUUAGAAAAUGAAUAUAAAUGGCUACUCCUCUCCUUUUGAUCUAACAUUCUUGACUAAGAGGUGCACUGAAGAGAUUUUCUAAAUUCUUUUCUUCAAUUGAGGUGUUUUUGCCGACAAUUGAAAAUUUGUCUUUUUUUAAACAUUUGUUUCACCUCUAAGGACUUAUUACCCUACUCAAUUCUCAAGAGUUCAAAAGUCUCCACUUUUACUCUUGAUGUAUGGUUCAAGUUUUAUUUGAAUAUUUUCUCAUGUCCUCUUUUUCCCUUCUAUUUCCAAUCUGCUUCUUCUUCUUCUUCUUCUUCUUUUUUUUUUUUUUGAAGAAGAACUUCACCAAUUUUGCAACCAAUUUCCAAUGGAUAAUUUAUCAAGAAACCUCCAUCUAAUCUACCCACUUUACUUUGGCUAAAAGAAAGAACACCGUUUCUCUAAAGUUCAAUCAAGGUUCUAGUAAAAAAAAUGAUAAAAGGUAGGUUUUAAAGGCUCAAACGGUUCAAAGAAAUCCCAAAUCACAUCCCAAAUCACUCAAUGACUCAAUACUUCACUUAAUGAUAUAUCAUAAAUUACUCCAAGUUUAAGACACAAAAUUUUCAACAAAAACAACACAUAAAUCAAGAUUCCUAGCAAUGACUUACUCCUAACUAGUUUGAAUCAAAAGCUCACCAACAUUCAGUCAAUCAAGACAAAGCAAGUAGUUUCAUCAUCAAAUAUUGGCCAUCGUUCAUCAUCACAAUUCAUUGAUGCAUUCGACUCAAGCAAUUUUUUUUUCCUAAAGAUAAUAAAAAAAAUCCUAAAGCAUGCAAACUAAAACACAAAUAAAGCACAUAAAAAUAAUUUUCCAACGCCAAACUUAAAUUUUUCAUUGCCUCAAUGAAAUUAGCAUGAAGUUCAACGAAAGAAACACCUUAUUAGUGUUGGGCGCCACCUUCCUCCUCAUCAUCAUAAAGCUCGGGUACGGGCUCUAGUAUCGGUCACGCACCACUUUUGAAGUGUUUCCACUGUAGUUACUUUGUGCUCCAUGGUAGCCAACCGAUAUCUCGUAAUAACCGCCUCGCGCUCCAUUCUCCUCUGAAAUCGUCGAUCUGAGGUCAAGCUUGAUCCCUCAUUCACGUUCCUCGUUUCGUGUUGAGGAGCGGCUUCAAAUGCGCCUAAGGCUUGUUACCCCUCUUGAAUGGGCAGUUUAAAUUGGUGGGCCGCUCUAUCAUUAAUGGGAUCUCAAAUCUGGGUCUCGAUGUCUGCCGGAUUUGUCUGACACCUUGGCUUUUCUUGCAUAAACCGGUCACCAAACAAGGGUAGAUGACCUUAGAGUUGUCGGACAUAGAAAUGACAUGUUGAUCGGCCAUGAUCGCGCCAAUAUUUAAAGGCUACCCCUUCGUGAUGUAGUAUGCGAGAUCGCAUAUUUCAUGAUUUACUCGAGUGAAUGAUGUAGUGGGAAUAAAAUUUGCGCAGAUGAAGGUAAACCAUGUUUUUCCUUCUUGGUUGAUGCUCUUCCAAUUUAGCUCGUACGCAUUUUUGUCCGGGUGCUUGAACCACAUGAGGCGCCCAUCACAUACCACCUCCCCAAUUUGGUCUCGUGUGACUUUGUGGAGCAUCGAAUUCCAUUUGGCUCUCUCGCCGCAAAGUUUGUAGCAACGGUUGAUGUCGGUUGGUUCCCAAUUAACACGAAGUUCAUGGACAGCGCUCGAACAAUGAGGGCGACUCUUUUUCGACAUGGUUGUUGGCGUAGAAUUCUCUUACUAUAGAGGAGUUAAUGAUGCCGAUGGGUGCGCAGAGUGUUUGCCAUCCUCGGUUGAUAAUAUCUUGAUUCAAAUUAGUGAAUUGAGGCAAUGUGAUGUCGAGACCCCUCUCUGUAAUUCGUCUUAAAUUUUUGCUUUUCAAAUACGUAUUUGAAUCCUUGGACACAAAAGGCAUCUUCUCAAAUACGUCUUUGCAUGUGAUUGGAAGAUGAUUCGUAGAGGAUUUGGAUUGAAGUUCACCCCCAAAAAUUGUUUGACGACAUUGUUGUUGAUAGUGAUUGGAAGAUGAUUCGUAGAGGAUUUGGAUUGAAGUUCACCCCCAAAAAUUGUUUGUACAAUUCGUAGAACACUUGGUGUACGCCUUUUGAAUAACUAGGUGUUGGUGAUUUUUGUAUCCUCUUUUAAGACAAUCUGUCAAUUUUUAAGUUCAAACCUCAAUUUCAUUGUUUGGAAGAGUGAUUUUUGUGCGAGUUGUGUGAAUUGCAAAAGAAACUGACACAAGAGAGGAAAGAGGUGUUUUUGCUCGAGCAAGGGUUUGAGAAAAAAAUGAGUAGAGUUGUGUAGGACAAUUUGCGUUCUGCCCCCUUUAACACACUGAAAAUUUUUUCGGACGACCGUCUCUCGUUUGGAUCUAAAAACUCCGAAGACUGUCUCGAUAUAAGGAAGGGCACUGUAUGAAUUUUAAAACUCGGACGAUCGUCUGAGUUUUUGCACUAAAUAUUAGGGCGGUCGUCCCGUUUAACAAUACAAAACAAUCAGAUUAUUUCUGAAAGUCGUACGGAUUUCAAGCUUUAAUUUCGGACAACCGUCUUGAACCUUGAAUUACAUUUUCGAGCUGAAAAUUAAAACAAGAAUAAAUUGUUAGAAUGCAUGCUUAUAAAAUCUGAAGAUAAAUAAAAAUAAAUAAAAAUACAAAAAACAAUAAAAACUAGGGCUCCCUCCCAAGAAGAGCUAAGUUUAUAGUCUUCAGCCGAACUUUGCUUCUUUUUCUUCAAACUAAAGUGACCAAAACCAAUUGGCGUUCUUCGCUAUCUCCCCAAUAAUGUUUCAACCGAUUCCCGUCCACUUUGAAUACUCGAUUAGAGUCUCGAUCCUUUACCUCAAUCGCUCCAUUUGGAAAAACUUCUUGAACAAUCAACGGCCCCGACCACCUAGAUUUGAGUUUUUCUGGGAACAACCACAAACGUUAAUUAAAUAAUAACACUAAUUUGUGAAAUUGGUGUAGCAAGAUAUUGUUAUUAUGCCACCCUUUGAAUUUGUCUUUGUAAUGACAAUUAUUCUCGUGUGCAUGCUCCCUUAUCUCGUCCAACUCGUUGAGUUGUAACAUGUGUUUUUCCUUGCAUUCCUUGUAGUAAAAGUUCAAUUUAUUUAGUACCCAAUACGAACAAUGCUCCAACUCAAAUGUCAAAUGGCACGCUUUUCCAAACACCACACGAUAUGGUGUCAUUCUCAAUCGAGUUUUGAUUGUCGUUCGAUAUGCCCACAGCGCAUCAUCCAAUUUCUUUGACCAAUCUUUCCUCGUUGGGACAACCACCUUCUCUAAGAUAUUCUUGAUAUCUCAAUAUGUAACCUCGACUUGCCCAUGCAUUUGUAGAUGAUGUGCUAAUGCCAUCUUAGGCUUUACUCCGUAGAUUCUAAAAACUUGAUACGCAUAAAACCUACUUAUAAAUUACCGCAAGUGUACAGUAUCGCGUUUUGUAGAAUAGUGAAUUCCAGAUAUCGAUCCACAAGGAAUUAAGUUCCUAAAUUUACCAAGUACCGUAAUUAUACUAUCCUAAACUUUAUCUAGACGAACGAGAAUGGAUGGGAGAAAUAAAACUAAAAAUAAACAAAAAUAAAAACAACGACCCGCCAGUAUAAGCGAGGAAUUCCGACGUGUGAUGGCUUCUAGGGUAAAAUCCACCUGUGUACUAUCAAUAAAGAUCAACAAAUCCGAAUCUAAUGUCAAUUCCAUGUUCUCUAACACAUAAACUAAAAUACCCUAACCCCUGUCUCCAGUGUAGUUAAAGUCUACCUACAGGUCCGACGUCUCCGUUCAGAACCUGAUAUUAAGAGAGCAUUUAGGUCAAGUCCUUAAGGGCUACCCGAGGUGCAUCACGUCUCCAUUUCCACAACCCGAGCUAUGUUUUCCUAAAAUGAAACAAGAAAUCCUCUCUCGAGUUCAUUCCCAUUUACGAUCAAUUCAACUGUUGGCCAAUUAAUCGAAAGCAUUUAAUACAGGAAAACAUAAACAGAAUCAAAGAACGACCAAUAGAUCACAGAUCUGGAAAUCAAAUCAAUAUAUACAAGGUUUCAUUUCCCCUAAAAGAAAAUGCUCAGUUCAUUACAAACAUAGCAUUCAAAUGAAGAACACGAGAAAUCAUAAACUAAACGUAGAGAAAAAGCUUAUGAAAAACCCGAGUCAAAACCCUUGUCGCAGCUUCCCGCGAAGAACUGGCGAGAACCGAAGAGAAAACCGAAGAAGAAGGUCGAGAUAUGGUCGAGAGUUUAAUCAAGAUAUUGUCGAGAUUUCGAAAAAUGAAAAGGAGACCUUCUAUUUAUAGUGUGAAACCAAAGAAAAAUAUCUAGUCUCGAUUUCUGUGCCCAGAUCGCGAUCUGGGCUUCUUGGAUCGCGAUCAGGCAACCUCGAAAACUGCGCACCGCCUUCCCAGAUCGCGAUCCAGGAAGUGCGGAUCGCGAUCUGCCCCAACUUUUUGCUGCUACUGGAAUUUGCCACCAGAUCGCGAUCCGGUGAUUCUGGAUCGCGAUCUGGCCUCUGCAUCAACUUCAAACACUUUUUUCACCCUUUUUCGACAAUUGUGCAUUUCACAAAAGUUGUAGCCCUUUCAGUUAGCUUUCGAAAUCCACUUGAAUCAGCCCAAUCGGAUGUCGCUUGCAAAAGUUAUGCUGGAAAUACCAAACACUGCCACAAUCCGCGAGAAUGCACUUUUGCACGUGUUUGGUUUGAUUCUCGGCUUCGCUUCCAAAGUCGUUUCGAAUCGGCAAAAAUAGCUUAUCUUUACCUAAAAUAUAAAUAAAACAAAAACAACAUAAUAUAUACAAAUAUAGGCUAAAACUCGGACGAACGAAGACCAAAACUCGAAGAAUUGAUAAGUGAAAACCAUGCAAAAUGAACACUUAUCAAUUCCCAUCAAGUUUUCGAAUUUCUUAUUGACAAAAUGCGAACCUCCAUCGCUAAUAACUGCCCGUGGUGCUCCAAAUCUAGUGAAUAUUUGUUUUUUUCUUGAAAUCACACACUAUAGAUGAAUCAUUAGUAGGUCUGGCAACCCAUUCCAACCACUUAGUAACGUAACCGACGGCCACUAAUAUGUAUUGAUUUUUGAGAGAAGGGACAAAAGGUCCAAUAAAAUCAAUCCCCCACAUAUCAAAAGGCUCAAUUUCGAUCAUCUUGUUCAAUGAGAGUUCGUGGCAUGUCGAAAUAUUGCCCGUUCAUUAGCACAUACUACAAGUAAUAGGGAAGUUAUAAGAAUCUUUAAAAAAAGUGGGCUGGUAAAAACCUGAUUGGAGAACCUUUCGUGCCAUCCUUUCUCCAUCAUACUGCCCCGCAUAAUCUGAUCCACGAUAGUGAAAUAGUAUAUAACUUUGCUCGCUCUCCGGAACAUACCUCCUCACCAAACAAUCAUUGAAUUGUCUAAACAAAAGCGAUUUUCCCAAAAAUAAAAUUUUACCCAUGCAAAAAUUUUCUCCAUUGAUGAUAAUUAAGAUCAAAUGGAAGUACUUGGAUAACUAAAUAAUUUCGCAUAAUCUGCAAACCAGUGUACUUCUAUAUCAAAUUAUUGCAACAUUAGAAUUCAUCUAAUAAGCCUAGGGUUCACAUCUUUUUUCGCAAACAAAUAUGUAAGAGCAGAAUGAUCCGUAAAUACAAUAACCUUAGUACCUAAAAGAUAUGGCCUAAACUUUUCAAAGACAAAGACUGUUAUAGUAGGUGACCAACAAGCCAACCUGUGGCUGUGGUCUUUCGUAUUUAUUAUUGUAAUAAACGAACCUUUAUUCGUAUUAAUGAUAAAACACAUUGGCAUUCUAUAUCUUUGUCCCUUUGUCACAAGCAUAGAUAUAGUCCUUACAGUUAUUACAAGUACUAGUAAUUGAUCGUUAGGAUCGUGAGAUAUUUACUUAAGUAUUAUAACUGUUAAACAUGUUCCUAGUCGAAGGGUUACGCCACUAAUGAGGAUAUCGGCCUUUCCCAUUAAGACUAGCACUUAGUGUAUGUGUACUGCAUCUCAUCAGUAAACGGUAUUGUGAUAUCGGCAUGCAUAAGUGGGUGCUCGUAAGUUGACGAGUUCACUGAACUCCCUCACCCUAGAAAUCUCUAAGUGGUUCCCAAUAAUCGAGUAGAGAUAUCUAUGGUAUAGUUGUACACCAUUAGUCCUUAUGACCUAGACAUCACCGUGACUUCACUAGAGGACCAGCUGUAUCGUGACCUGUCCCUGAGUUCCACCGAGGACCAUCCCAAGGGCCAGUGUUCGUGCAGUCCGAAAUCUAGUGGGAGGUCUGUGCAUUGUAGUCGGGGAUUCGAUCGCUAGAAUAGUCUUGGAUGUCCUGUGUGUUAUGAAAGUUUGUAAUCAUUCUAAGUCUCUGGCCAGAGCUGACUGAAGUGAUGAUUAGAGAAUUCGAUUCUCUAAGUCAUGCACGUAAGGAUUACAACACUUAGAACGAUCGCACCGUCAUUGAACAUAUAAAGAGGUCUCGAUGAACCAAUGCCUCUAGUUCAAUCGGGACAUAUGAAUCGAAGGGACCGUACUGUACGUUAACUAUAUCUGAAGGUUCUUGCAGGCACUUCAUUUGUAUCUAGGGAAUCAUGACGCGUAGUUGCUAGACGCCAAUCUUGAUUCGUUGGGUGAUUAAGGUGAAACGAGUUUCAUCUUAAUCGUAACUCUAAGGGGACGAGUUUUGACCACAAAGGGUUGUGGGCCCACGGCUAGCUUACACCUGAACCAUCGAGGGUCACACUGCUCGUGCACAUGAGAUCUUUGAAUAAACGGUCAGAGAUAAAAUGGUUUAUCUUUGCAUGAUUGGAAGUCAAUAUGAUUGGGUCCAACAUUCGUAAUUUGGAAUUAUGAAUGAGAAUAAGAAAAGGAAAAGAAUAGACAAAUAUAUUAGUGGACUUUCUAAAUCGGGAAGUUUCCAAAUUUAGAAAGUGCACUGAAUUAGGGUUUCCACUUUUGGAAAGUUGGAAAUCGAGAGUUGGCACUCGUAAUGACGAGGACAUUAUAAUGAUUACGAAAAUGUAAUCGUUACGAUUUUCCGAUCAUUGAAUUGAGAGAGACGAGCAAGUAAAGGAACUAACGAGCUUAAGCUGUUGGGCCCGGUCCAACUUAAGCCCGUUAGGGUUUUAUGCAAGGGACUAUAAAUACAUGAUUUAUAGGCCUUGCACAACACACAACAAACCCUAACCCUAGCGGCCGUCCACCUCUCUCUCUCGGCCACUCUCCCCGCGGCCACCACAGCGCCGUCGCCGCUCCUCCGUCGCCGGAAUCGGCCAUCUAUUGGCCGAUCCCUUUCGGUACUCUUUUCUUCUUUCUUUUUCUUCCGUUAAUUCUAACUACUUCGUGUCUAGUGCCACGUUUUAGUAGAUCGAAGUAUACGAGGUGAAAUCCGAGAGGAGGAAGACUGAAGAAUCGAAGAACAGCCAUCAAGCCGACGACGCACGCGACCCACGCGCCGCCCCGAAGUCCGCGCGUGAGAUACACGCGCCGCCGCGCCGAUCUGCCGCUGCUGCCGCUGCAUUGCUGCUGCCCCGAUUGUACGGAUUGGUUUCCGUAGCAAUCUCGACUUGCUAAACGCUCCUACCUCACGCUUCAAGAGGUAAAUACACGAAACCCUAGUUUCGGUUCGUUUAGGUUUAAUCUAUGAAUUCAUGUUUGCUAUCAUGUGAUUUUAUGUGAUUAUGUGUAAUCGUUUUAAUCGUUGCAAGCAUGUUAUUUGGUUUAAACGCGAGCAUGUUAAUUGAUUUAAAAUUCGGUUAAAUUAUUUAACAUGUAUGUUGUUUUAAUUUCGCUGGAAGCGCAAAGGUACGCAAUUAAUUGAUUUAAUUUAUCGGGCGUGUGCUUAUGUGCUUUAAAGUCGUUUAAAUCGCAUAAAAUUUUUGUUUUCCGCUGCGUACACGUGCCCGAAACCCAACAAAGACAACCGCUAACAACUCUUUUUUUGUAGUUGUAUAAUCCAGUUGAGCAUCCUUAAGAGGUUUGCUAGCAGAAUAAAUGGAACGUAAAAAAAUAUCUUUCAUUUGCCCUAAAGCGGCUCCAACCGCAAAAUCACUAGCGUGACACAUAAGCUCAAAAGGUUUAUCCCGAACCGGCACACAAAUAAUAGGAGCAUAUACUAACCUUUUCUUGAGCUCAUUGAAAGCUUGGAGACAAUCACCGUCAAAAUUGAUUUUUUUUCCUUAUCGAGUAAGUUGCACAAUGGAUUGGCGAUCAUGGAGACUUAAUGAAACGCUAGUAAAAUCACGUAUGCGUUAGAAAUAUCUAAUUUCUUUUACCAAAAUUGAUGGCGGAAGUUGUUCAAUUGUUGCGAUAUUUGCUCUAUCAACUUCUAAACCUUCUCGUGACACUUUAUACCCAAGCACAAUUCCUUCUUGUACCAUGAAGUGGCACUUCUCCCAUUUAGCACUAAGUUUGUUUCCUCACCCCUACGCGGAACCUUAGCUAGCAUGCAAGGACAUGUGUCAAAUGUAUCAUCGAAUAUAGAAAAAUCAUCCAUGAACACUUCUAAGCCGUUGUCCACCAUAUCGGUGAAAAUAGCCAUCAUGUAUUUUUUAAAAGUAGCAGGUGCAUUAGAUAAACCAAAGGUCAUGCAUCUAAAUGCAAAGGUUCCAUAAGGACACAUGAAUGUGGCUUUGUGUAGAUCAUCCGGUCCUAUGGAACUUUGAUUGUACCCCGAGUACCCAUCUAAAAAGCAAUAAAACUCCUUACUCGUCAACCUAUCGAACAUUUGAUCCAUAAAGGGUAAAGAAAGUGCACUUUUCUAGUGACCUUAUUUAAUUUCUUAUAAUACAUACAAAUUCACCACCUCGUUGUGGUUCUAGAAUGAAUUAAUUCAUUAUGUGCAUUACGAAUGACCGGCAUACCUUAUUUCGUAGGAACACAUUGAACCGGACUUACCCAUGCACUAUACAAAAUAUGAUACAUAAUACCUGCAUCGAAUCACUUGAGAUUUUAUUUCUUUACAACCUCCUUCAUGAUGGGGUUUAGGCUUCUUUGUUGCUCCACUAAUGGCUUGUGUUCGUCCUCCAGGAUGAUCUUGUGCAUGCAAACGAAAGGCCUUAUUCCCUUGCUUAUUGUCACGGCCCACCAUUUUUGGCCCAACCCUUUUCCAGUUUCCAUUGGGUUAGAGAGGUUAGGUCCAAUAAAAGAGUCCAAGACUUAGCCCAUGAAAUUUAGGCCCAAUUUAACCAAAUGUAAAUAGGCCUAUUAGAGAUUCUUUGAGGAUUCUAAAAUAGUUUCUAGAACCCUCCCUUUGUAGAAAUUUUGUAGGAAUUCUUUGGAGUGUUCUAGUGAAAUAAUCCUAGCCCUUUGAUCAAAUAGAUCCCCACCAUCUAUUGAGGAGGUGGCCUAGUGUAAAUAGGAGUAGCGACUUAAUUUGUAACCAUCCAAGCAAAUCCAAAAAAUUCUAAGCAUUAAGCAAUAUAAGUACUUUCCUACAAAGUUCUCUUGUCUUUUUAAGUUCUUUGUUCGUUUUCCAUCACUUAGCAUGCGCAACACAUUCGGGGGUUCUCCAUCACGUAGCAUUCGCAACACAUUCGGGAGAGGCUGACUUAGCUAUCGUGAGGGCCAAGAAGGAGCUAAGGCCGCACGGUUCGUUGUUAAGGGAACAAGUCCAUGACAUUGUACUCACGAAGCACCUCCAAGAGCCUUUGUUCCUGCAAUUUUGAGAGAGAUUCAUAAAUAAUUACCGUUAAAGACUCAUUCAUACCAAGAUCCGCAUAUUUCAAGUGCGGUGGCAAUUCUUUCAACUCGAGCUUUGAUGACUCCUCCAACGAUGUUCAGAAUGCAUUGGGUCUGGUAAGCGCAAUAAUAUCUAAACUCUCAAACCUUGACUUUCGAAGAGCUCCAGCCGAGUCGAACCAACAUAUUCUUCUACUCUCUUGCCUCCACAACUAUCUCAUGCAACAAAAGAUGCUUCCAAAGAACCCAAGAUUAAAUAAUCAAAAUUUCAAGAGAUGAUGAAUCCAAUACAUCAAUGAAAAUCGUUGGAAUCACGUAGACGCUUAAUUGCAUUAAAAAUAUUGAAUUUUAUCGUUUGAUCAUGCACAGUCAUAAUAAGAUCUCCACUAGCGCAAUAAAUGAUAGUCAUAGUAGUAGCUAAAAACGGUUCCCAAAUUCCCAAAAUAAUAGGUAUCUCCAUAUCCUUAUCUGAUCCAUAUCAAGAAUAAGAAAGUCAGCAGGAUGAAUAAAUUCAUUGACUUGUACGAGCACAUCCUCUAAAAUACCUUUUGGGUAAACCAGUGAUCUAUCGACUAAUUGAAGAGUUAUAGCCGUUGGUUCAACUUCUCCUAACCCAAGACUCUUGUAAGUAGAAAAAGGCAUAAGAUUAAUUCUAGGUCUUAAAUCAAUAAGUGCUCUAAAAAAAUCUAUUAUUGUGCAAGGGAUAGUGAACUUACGUGGAUCGUUUAGUUUAUGUGGCAGUGGUCGGGUGAGACUUGCACUGCAUUGUUUCGGUGAGAGUGAUCAUCUCGUGUCCUUGCAAUUUUUGUUGUUUGGUAAUGAGGUCCUUGAUGAAUGUAACCCACUUUGGAAUAUGUUGAAGUAUUUCGACGAAAGGAAUAUUUAUGCGAAUUUCUUUAAAUUUGUCCACGAAACAUUGGUAUUCAACAGAGAGCUUUGUCUUUUAAAACCUUUGAGGGUAUGGAAUGGGUGGGGCCGGUGCGACUUGAGCUGUUGAAGGCAUUUUUUGAGCAUCUUUUUUGGUUUUUACAAUCCCAGAUUCAUCGGUUUCUUUGCUAACUGCCUCUUUUCUUGGGAUUUCCUCCAAUUGCCUUCCGUUCCUCAAACUGAUAGCUUGUCAAGAUUCAUUCUGUUGUUUUCGAGGAUCCUCCGUGUUUGAUGGCAAAGCUCAUGCAUGAUGAUUUCCUCGUUCCCUUGUUUGUGCCACUUGAUUCUCCAAAUUCUGGAAUGAAGCUUGGGUAGAUUUCAUGAAAUGAGCCAAUGUUUCCUCAAGGCUUAUCUUCGAAUUUUGGGCCGGUGGAUUAUUCCUUUGAUAGUGGUUUUGUGGAGGGUCUUGCUGUUGAUAUUGACCUUGAAGUCUUUGGUAUCCUUACCCUUGUUCAUUUUCUCCAUACUAGCCUUGUAGCCUCCAUCCUUGAUUUUGAGGUUGCCUAGGUGCAUUUGUUGACUGAUAAGUGUUCGUUUUGCACUUUUUUUACUUAUCGAAUCUUCUAGUUUUGGUCUUCGUUCGUCCGAGUGUUCGGCUUUAUUUGUACAUAUUAUGAGUUUCUUGUUUUAUUUCUAUUUUAGGUAAAAAAGAAACUAUUUUCGCAGAUUCGUAUCGAUUUUGGAAGCGAAGCCGAGAAUCAAACCAAACACGUGCAAAAGUGCAUUUUUGCGGGUUGUGGCAGUGUUUGAAAUUUCAAACAUUACUCGCUCAUACGACCUCCGAUUGAGCUGAUUCAAGUGGCUUUAAAAGCCAACUUCAAGGUCUACAACUUUUGUGAAAUGAAAAAGUGUCAAAUUUGGGCUUAAAAAAUGGUCAAAACAGGGUUUGAAGUUGACGCAGAGGCCUUAUCGCAAUCCACUCUUUCCGUAUCGCGAUUUGGGGUCACUUAAAGAAGGUUUUUCGAUCACGACCCAAAUCGCGAUCCAGCCUUGCUGUAUCGCGAUCUGGGGUCUCACAUAACAUUUUUUAUCAAGAUCCAGAUCGCGAUCCAAAAUUCCCGUAUCGCGAUCUGGCAAGGUGGUGCACAGUUUUCGAGGCAAGAUAUUUGUGUUUUGCAAGUCUUCUAUAAAUAGAACCAGCCUCGCUCUCCAUUUAUGGACUCUUGGACCUCUCCUUUGAGUUUUUCUUCGGUUUUAUCCCCGGUUUUCGCUAGUUCUUCGCGAGAAGCUUCGACGAGGGUUUCAACUCGGGGUUUUCAUAAGAUUCUUCUUUACGUUUAGUUUAUGAUUUCUUGUGUACUUCAUUUGAAUGCUUUGUUUGUAAUGAACUGAGCAUUUUAUUUUAGGGGAAAUGAAACCUUGUAUAUAUUGAUUUUGAUUUCCAGAUCUGUGAUCUAUUUGUCGUUCUUUGAUUAAGUUUAUGUUUUCCUAUAUUAAAUGCUUUCGAUCGUUUGGCCAACUGUUGAAUUGAUUGUAAAUGAGAAUGAAAUCGAGAGAGGAUUUCUCGUUUGAUUUUAGGAAAACAUAGCUCGGGUUGUGAAAACGGAGACGUGAUGCACCUCGGGUAGCCCUUAAGGACUUGCCCUAAAUUCUCUCUUAAUAUCAGGUUCUGAACGGAAACGUCGGACUUGUGGGUAGACUCUAACUAUACUGGAGACGGGGGCUAGGGUAUUUUAGAAUUGACUUUAGGUUCGGAUUUGUAGAUCUUUAUUGAUAGAGCAUUGGUGGAUUUUACCCUAGAAGCCAUCACACGUCGGAGUUCUUCACUUGUCCUGGAGGACCGUUGUUUUUAUUUAUUGUUUCUUUUUAGUUUCAUUUCUCCCAUCCAUUCUUGAUUGUCUAGAUAAAUUUUAGGAUAGGUUAAUUACGAUACUUGGUAAAGUUAGGAACUUAAUUCCCAGUGUAUCGAUUUGUGGAAUUCAUUAUUCUACAAAACGCGAUACUGUACACUUGCGGUUUUUCAUACGUAGGUUUUACGCGUAUCAUUGACGUAGUUGAGCGACUCCAUCUCUGAUUGGCAUUAAAUAGAAUAGUGAUUUCCCCCACAAUUUUUGCAAUAUGGCGAUCCAUCCGGCGCUUGCAUUGUGUGGACAUGUUGCGGUUUGCUCGCCUAAGUGAGGAGCUGGUUUUGUUGUGAAACUUGUGUCAAUUGAGCUUGAAGAGCUGUGAUUGCGUCUAGUUCUAAAAUUCAAUGAAUAUUUUUGGCUCCAUUGAUCGUCCUUUUGCCAGUCUUACUGAUCAUGUACUGUGCAAUCUGAUCCAACAAAAUAAAUGCAUCCAUAAUAGAUUGGCUCAUAAUAUUACCCCCUGAUUAUGCAUCUAGAACGGUUAUCGCAUUCUCAUUUAUUCCUUGAUAGAAGAUAUUUAUUCUAACAUUCUCUGAUGGUAAAUAGUAAAAUUGUGGGGAUUGAUGGACCCCCUUCAUUUUGAAAAUAUUUUGAACUAAACACCAAUGAUAUUACAUCUUGGUGCAUACCCCCUCAUUUUUUAUCUUAAUUUGGGAUACCCGCCUCGCCACUUUGAAGUACCUAAAAUGCUCUUUUAAUAUUAAUUGUAAAACAUCACGUUGUUUGCUUGCCUUUCAUGAUCGCUAUGAGUUCGUCUCUCUCUUCCUCUCUCACUCUCAGAUACAAAUUUCGCCCCCAUAAAUUUCCAACCGGCGAUGUUGCUUUACGGAGUCAUAACUCUAUCUUCAAUGGUCGGAAUUCGAAGCUUUUAACUACCGUUGGAUUCCCCUUGUCGAGCUCUUUCAUAUGGUGAUGAUUUCAUAAAGUUUAGAGCUCAAGAUUGGUUUUUGUAAUCUUUUUACAAUGGGCGCGUAUUUCAACGAUGGUGGGUCUUGCCGAAGGGGUAACCUGUGUUCCGGCAGUCGGACUUUGACAGGCUACCCACCGUUGGAUUCCUCUUGGUGAGAUAUAUAUAUUUUGAUGGUAAUUUCGUUCAAUUUUUAUUGUUUGAUUUGUUUCUAUGAUGUUUUUCAUUGUGAGCGUGGAACCUUGGGUAGUUGACGGUGGAUAGGAUUUUGGCAAGAGGAGCUUGUGGUGAGGAGUCAUUGGCGAUUUGAUUUAAAUUUGAGGAAUUUCGCAGCUGUGGCCUCUCUCUCGAUCUCAUAGUGUUUAUCAAUUUUUGAGUGUUUUGAUGUUUCCUCAAUUUUUAUUAAUUUGCACUAAAAUAAUUUUUUUGUUUUGAUUUUGCAAUUGCAGCUUAAUGGAAUCCAUUGAUCCUAUCCUUAAAGGUGUCAAAAAAUUUAGUUGAAGUUUUUGAUGAAUAUAACGAUUUUGACAUCUGCUUCAAGUUACAAUGUUUUACAGACUGUGCACAUUACUACACACAAGUAUAAAUUAGUAGUAACAUACAGCAACAUGUAGUAACAUAUGCAUGCAAUUGUGGAACGAUUUUUAUUUGUUGGUUAUGAGUUGAUUUAUAAUAUAAAUAUUUAAAUUAUGAUUUUUUGUUGUUGGUAUUUAUGAUUUUUUUUUAUAAGCAGUGAUAUUCUUGUGUGUACAUAAUUGGUCGACUAAAAAUUUGGGUUAAAAAGAAAGAACAUUACUACGAAUGCUAUAUAUUACUACAAUUACAUAUAGUCAUUUUCAUAUAGUCAUUUUCAGUUCAGUAAGCAUAUCGAUUAAAAAAAAUUAACGAUUUGAACCGACUUUUCUUUCGAUAGGAUUGAAGUGGAAUUUCCAAUUUAUUGCCUUUGAAAAAAGAUUUUUUGACGAUUUGAAGUGAAAUGUCUUUGCCUUCUUUUUCUUUAUUUCAAUUCCUUGAGCAUGCAGAGUGAUGACAACGGGGUUGGCUAGGCGGAUGAUGCUUGGGUAACUCUGCUAUUAUUACACAACCCUUCUUUGGUGCCUUAUUUUGAAAAUGAAACAAAGAAAUAACAUUUUUGUUAGGAUUUUUCUAGCCGUUUAUGUUUUUUCUGCCAAAACGCAUUACAAUUUUUUGGUAUCGAUGUUUUGCUUUUCUACAUUUAUUAAAGCUGAUUGUUGAAAUUUCAUGAUGAAUUAUAUUAAUCUAAUAAUGGAUUUUAUGAUAAUUUUGUAGUGGAUUACUUCAAUUCCGUAGUGUAUUAUGUUAAUAAUAUUCCUUAGUGGAUUUCGAUAAGUUUGUAAUGAAUUUUAAUAUGAUAAAUCAACUCGAUAAAAAAUCGAAAAAAUAAAAGAAAUUGAAAAUAAUAAAAAAAAACUAUUUCUAAUAAAAUCAAAAUUGAAAAAAACGAUUUAAAAAAAACAAAUUGUUUUAUGAAAAAAGAUCCAACAAUAAAAAUGAAACAAAAAAUUAAAAAUUAAAAAUUAAAAAAAUAAAGAAAGAAAAUAAAGACACUAGAGGUGAAUAGUGAGUAAUAGGGAAAUGGUAAAUAUGGACCUAUAAAAAAUUGAGGUGAUUACAAAUAAGUCUACACAUGGUCCAGAUUUUUGUAAAAGACUAAAAUAGCCCAUCACACUUCAAUAUGCUCCGAUUUCAUCAUUAAUUUAAUUUAACCUCAAUUUGACCCCAAAUUUCACAAAUUAUUCAAUUUUGACCCCAAAUUUUUUUUUUUUAAAAUUAUUUUUUUUUUCAAAAAUUAUUUUUUUUUUGCCGCCGGUCUCCGACGUUAACUUUUCGAUUUUUUUUUUCUUCCGGAUUUUUUUCGCCGGUUUACGGCGUUGACUUUUUCAUUUUUCCUUUCUUUAACAUUUUUUUUUUCGUUUAAACAUCAAUAUUGCUGUGAUUGACAGUAAUAUUAACUAUAUUACUGUUAAAUACAGUAAAAUUAACUAAACUACAGUUUAACACAACAAUAUUGCUAUAUUAAUCUCUAGCACAGUAAUAUUAACAUAAAAAAACUCAUUAUUAUUGUGUAAUAGAGUAAUAUUACUAUGUUGACCGCUCAACAAAUGUAAACAUAAUAAAAAGCCAAAAUAAUUAAUAUUACUGUGAGUGACAGUAAUAUUACUAUAACAGCAGUAAUAUUACCGUCAACCACAGUAAUAUUACAAUAAUAAAUAGUAAUAUUAUUACGUUACUCCGUGAAUAACUCAAACAAACAAAAAAAAAACCAAAUAAAAUAAUAAUAUUGAUGUGGUUGACAACAAUAUUACUAUAACAACAGUAAUAUUACCGUCAACCGCAGUAAUAUUAUUGUGUUACAGUAAUAUUACAAUAAUAGACAAACAAAACAAAAAACCCCCAAAAAUAAUAAUAUUGAUGUUGUUGACAAUAAUAUUAUUGUGUUUACAGUUAUUUUACUAUCAACUACAGUAAUAUAAUUACGUUGACUUGUCAACAAAUCAAAAAAAAUAAAAAAAAAAUAACAAAAAAAUAAAAAAUAAUAAUAUUACGUUAAUUUACUGUCAACGGCAGAAUAGUUACAUAAAUGUAUUGUCAACGGCAGUACAAUUACGUAAAUUAACUGUCAUUGACAGUAUAAUUACGUUAAUUUAAUGUCAGUGAUAGCACAAUUACGGUCAACGUUUAGUGGCGGACGUAAAAAAAAAAAAAAAAAAAAAAAAAAAAAAAAAAAAAAAGAAAGAAAACACUAAAAAUAGUCAACGCCGGAAUCCGACUGCGGAAAAUAACAGACCAGAGAAAAAAAAAGUCAACGCCGGAAAUCCGCGAAAAAAUCCGGAAGGGAAAAAAAAAAGAAUUCACAAAGUCAACGUCGGAAUCCGGCAUCAAAAAAAAUUUUGAUAAAAAAAAGUUUCCUUUAUUUAUAAUAAAUAUUAAAGGGAUGAGCUUAUUGGUGAAAGAGAUAUAGCCCCUAAACCUAGAAUAAUAAAGAUGAUUGGUUGGGGACUUAUGCACAAAACCCCUAAAAAAUGAGGGUAUUACCUAUUUUGGAAUUUAAGAAAAUAGACAUAUUCCUAUUUGCAAAAUUUAGGAGUUUUUUAUCAAAUAGCCCCUAUAAAUCUAAAACAUAGGGGGAGUAUCUUCAAUUCCAUGCAUAAAUUGCAUACUUAAAUUCAUAAUUUUUAAAAUAACUGGUUAGUACCACGUGCAAUGCACGUGAUUCUUAAUAUUGUAAUCAGUGAUUUACACUAUUUAAAAUUUAUUUGAUUGAAAUUACACAUUAAUCAUUGCUUUAUAAAUUUACGCAUAAGUCUCUGAUAUUUUCAUUAUUCUAGGUUCAGGGCUAUAUUUAUUUCGUCAAUAAACUCGUUCCUUUAAGGCAAAAUUAAUGUAUAUUACAAAAUUACACCCAACCCUUUAAACUCAAUUCCUGAUUGUAACCCCAAUUUAACUUCAAUUUCAUCAAUUUUGACCACAAAAAUUCAAUUUUGACUUUUCUUUGUUCGAGUUUUUUUAAACCGCCGGUUUCCGGCUUUGGUUUUUUUUGUUUUUUUGUCUGUUUUUUCCUCCGCCGGUCUCCGGUGUUGACUUUUUUUUUUCUGUUUCUAGUUUUUAAGCAAGCGGUUUCCGGAGUUGACUUUUUUUUUCACCAAAAAAUUUAAUCCAUUUUUUUACGCCUCCGCGGAACGUUGACAGUAAUUGUACUUUCGUGUACGGUAUAAUUAAUGCAAACAUAAUAAUAUUAUUACUUUUUCGGCUUUUUUUUGAGCAUAUUAAAAUAUGAGGGGAUAUUUUGGUAGUCUUUUACAGACCUAUGGACAUUGUCUGGGUUUUUUUUUUUUUUUAAUAUUUUUUUGUCUGAACCCCUUUAUGAAUACCUAGCCCAUGAUCGGCUUAUUUGUAAUAGACCCUUAUAAAUAAUUUAAAUUAUAUCUGAUUAAUUUUAUAUAAAAUAAGUUGGUAGUUAUUGUGUAAUAUGAAUGAUCAAAUAAAAUAUUGGAAUAAACUUCAGUAAAAUUUUAAAUGUUUACCCACUAAUAUAAUUUUUGUAUGGGUCCUUGUCCACGUUAAUAGUUAGGAUGAUUUUGUUUCUCUCAAACUCUUACGUGUAUAAUUGAAAAUUUCAAGACAUAAAUAAAUUAUUAAGUUGAAAUUAAAUUAUCCUUAAUUAACUCUAAAAAUAUAUUAUUUUGUAUUUUAUAUAUAAGGUUCUACCAAAAUGUAUAUUAAUAUAUAAUAAUUAAUAUAUAUUUCAAAUAAAAAAUAAAUUGUAUUUAAAAAAAAAUAGAUAAUUGGAAAAUAUCAAGUUUAGCAAAUUAAUUAGGUGAUCCUUGCUAAUUACUUUAAUAUUUAAUACACUAAGAUUCAACAGUUAUUAACUUAAUGAUAUGUGGAAUUUUAAUUCAUAAUUAAUAUCAUUAAACAUCAUUCAGUAACAUAUUUUAAUAACUUCUAAAAUCAUCAGACAUAUGACGAUAAAAAAAAUGUCAUAUACAUAUGUCUCAUAAAAUAAAUUAAAUGAAAAAGAAAAGUAAAAAAUGCAAUGUGGUUGGGGAUGGAUAUCAGAAUACGAUUUUAGAAUCCCCUGAUUCUGAUCCGAAAAUAUCCGAAUUUAGAAUCGUAUUUUAUCAUUCCGAUUUAUAAUUUUUUCAAUUCUGUUUUAGCAUGGAAUUGCAAUUGUAUAUAAAAUUAUCGAAAAUUUCAAUCUUCUAUCAGAUUUUAGCUAGGAAGAUUUUGAUUGUUUUGAAAUAUAUUAUAUAAUUUUAUUAUAUAUUUUUUUAAUUCCAUAAUUUAAUGUAUGUUAAUUUCAUAUGAAAAAUAUGAAUAAGGGCCAAAUAAACUAAAAAACAUAAAAAAUGAUUAAUUUGUAUCAUAACUAUCUGUUGCAUUUUUUCUUAUAACAUAAACUCUUAAUGCAUAUUGUUUUUUCUAUAUGUGGUUUUUAUUUGUUGCAAUUUGUUGAAUUCUUUUUCGGAUGUCCGUGCAUUUCGCUAUAAGAUUCCGAAAAAGAGUGAAAACAUUGUGAAAAUUCCCAUUAUGUCCGAAUUUGGAUCAAAAUAAAUUAAUGGAAUUUCUGAAGUUUCUGAAAUUCCGUCGAUUCAGAGGCAUUUCGAAAUCAGAAUGGUUUUUGAAUUGUGAUUUUUUGAAAAGGAAAUUGGAACCCGGUUUUAGCUUACGAAAAGAAAUGAUAUAAAAAAAAAGCCAUUUUGGAUCAAUUCCGUCCGAUUUCUACCCUUAAAUGCGGUUCACAAUUCACAUUUGAAGAAUUUAGCUAACAUUUUAAUCACUAUGUUCAUGUUCCAAUUUAACUUUGAUACUUUCCAUAUACAUUGAUUUUGUAGAUUUUUUUAAUAUCUUUAAAUUAAUUUACAAACAUUAUACAUGAUAACUUCAAAUUAUGGGACUUGUUAUUUUGGGAAGUCCUAAAUUGACCAAUAAAAAAAAAUUUGGUAAUGAAGUUGAUAUUUUAAAAACUAUCCAUCAACAUUAAAACGGUUUUAUGUGAGGAAAAUAAAUUAAAAUCGUCAACCCACCGAACUACCAAACAAUAACCUUUUAAACAUGAAAAAAAAAGUAACCAUUAAAAGUUUACGAUUACCCGCUUGUUGAGUACCCUAAUUAUGUGAGAGAGGUCUUUGAAAGGUCAGUACUCAUAUUUUACAUUUGACUAAAAAAUUAUAUGUUAAAAGAGAGAUAAAACAAAAUAUAGAGAGCCCAAUUGGGUUCUCGUGUAAGAUCUAAUUUACUUAGAACGUGAACUCUCGUCUUGAGAGCACAUUUAACAAACAAGUUCAAUAGUUUUAAAUAAUCAAUCAACAACCGCAUGUGAUGUCAGCUAACAAAGGGUGAUGAAGACUUUAUAUUGCAUUUAGUAAACCUCUGUUAUAUCGAAUUGAGAAAAGCUUCUUGUUUUAUAAAUAUAAGAAAUCAAAAUUCUUCUUAUGCGCUGUUUAGUACACAACCUCCUAAUUAAUAGUGUCUUUUAUAGGAUAGAUUGCCUAUAAAAUUGAAUUACGGAGGUUGUUUUAUAAUAUUUAUAACACGGAGAUUUGUUUAACAAUUCGAGUAAACACAUGGGUGCUAAAUGCAAUAAACCCCAAACAAUAUAAGAUAUAAGCUAAAUAUUCAAAAAAUAAGUAUCAUUUAUGAAAAUAUCAUCGUCUUAUCAUACUUUUUUCAUAAAAAAAUAUUAUAAAGACAUACUCAAUCAGAUCUAAUUUUAUUUCACGGGUUAUGAAAGUUUCAUAUAAUUUCUUUAUUAUUAAAUAUGUUUAUUUAGUUUACAUAUUUUGAUAAAAGAGAAGCUAUAAAUUUGUAUCAAUUAAAACAAUAAUAAGAAAAUAAAAAAAAUUUAGAGAUUUGAGAUGAAAUCAUGAAACUGAAUCAAAAUACUAAAAAUAUAUUACACAUUAUUAAAAAAAAAUCAUUUUCUAAUAAUUCAUAGCCUAGUCGAAUUUGAUUUCUCCAAUAAAUGAAAUACUAACUUCCCUACCUUUUAUAUUUUGUCUAUAUGUUAAAUAAAAGAAUAAAAAUUAAAAAAUAAAAUAAAAAUAGAGAGAGAGAGAGAGAGAGAGAGCAAUAAGCUGCCAAUAUAUUUAAUUUGAUAUAUUGAUUGUAAUAUAAAUAAAAAUUUUACCCAAACAAUCAUAAGUAAUACAUACAUAUAUAAUAACUUACUAAUAAGGGUAGAAUAGGUAUCAGAAAAAAGUUAAGAAACAAAAAAAUUAUGCUCUUAAAGGUAUCGGGAAAGGGCGAGAGAUUAAAAUUAAUACUUAAACGCAUUCUUUAUAAAUAUUUUUAUUUAAUCAUCAAUUAAAAAAUUCAUUUACUGUGCAUCGUACGAGUAGAGUGGAAUUAUUAGUAUCCAUAAUAUUUAAUAUACAAAAAAUAAUUUUAUUUUGGUGUAUACAGUAAAAUAAUAUUUCGAGCACCAAAUUAAUUAGUGCCUCGCUCAACUGUCAUUCUCCGGAUGUACUUAAUUAGUAUUAUAACUCCAUCCCUCUUGCAAGAUAUUUUUAUUUUGUGUCUGUAGAAUUAUUCUGAUUCCCCUCGAAGAGUUCAGUGAUUGCAUCUCCAUUUCCCAGGGAUCAUGUGUUUUCAAUUGUACUAUUUGUUUGAACAUGUUUUCCUUUUAAUUUUGUUUGUUCAUAAUAAAAUAAAUUGCAAUUUAAUAUUUAUAAUGAAUGAAGAGACGAUAUUCUUAAUUAAAUAUAAUAUGCAAUUAUUUUGUGGUAUGGCAUAUGUAACCAUCAACAAACUGGCAACCAGCAUGUGUGGCCAUUUGUAGUUUUCUAAAGACCCUUUAAAAAAGCACAAGGAUACAAGUUUCACAUGCACAACCACGUCAAGGAACGAUCGAUGUUUUUCUUUUCUUUCGCAUCUGUCCAAACAACAUCGAUUUCUCUUGUCAUUCGUACAAUGCAAAUUGCGUCUUAUACAUGUAUGUUUAAAUUUCAUGAAUAAAAUGACUCACAUUAGUAAUUAGCACAGUGAAUUAAGACUUGAUGAACUUCAACUUUGACAAAUGUCAUUCCAGAGGCAACUAUAACUAGUAUAGUCCUAGUCUUACAUAAGCAACUAAUGCUACGGAAAAUUAUAAUAUAUCGUUUCAAGUAAUUCAAUGCUUCUUCUGACGGUUUUUUUUAUAGUACCUUCAGUGAAAGAAAGAAGUUAAUCUCCAUAUCAAUAUCUUAUUUUAUAUCAUGUAUAUUUUGAAACAAAUUGUUCUCACACAAGAAAGAGAGGCAUUUGAAGAAUUUUGAAUUUAGGUAUUUGAAUUUGAAGAAAGAAAUUAAGGAACAAUAUAAACACAAAGAAUAAAGAGAAUUUUGGAUAAAGUACAAAUUACUGAUUGGAAACAAACAAAAUUAGAAAUUAACUGAUUAGAUUAGCAUUAUUUAAUCAUAAGAGCCCAAGAAAAUAAAUAAUAUCAUAAUUUUACAUUAAUGUAUUAUAAAGGGUAAAAAAAAUGCAUUAUGAAGUGUAAAAAAAAUAAUUGUUGUUCUCUAAAAAUUUCUUAAACAUUUGGGCCCCUAAAAAAUAUACCAAAAAUUGGAGUUUUAGGUGACCGCUUACUUCGCCUAUUCUCAAAAGCCGCCCUGCACCAAAAAUUGGGUUCUUAAGAAGCUCUAAUUUUCGGCUAUCACAAUAGAGUAGAAAAAUGAUUUGUUUCUUUUAUUAUUUCUUAGCACAACAUCUUCUAGAUACCUAUAAAUAAAGGGGCUAUUUGUCAAACACCCCUCAUUGAAUUUUGACUUCUUCAUAAAUCCAUUUUUUUUAAUUGAUAUUUGUUAUAAAUCCAAUUAACUCUAAUUAUCCAAAAUACCCCUAUUUACUAUUACUGAAAUUACUAUAUUAUAUUAUUGUGGAAAAAUCAAUCCAUUUUUUGUAGAUAUGCAAAUCCCCCUAUUAUCUCCUCUAUCUCACACCAUCCCCUAUUAUCUCUCCUAUCACAUAUCUCACAGUUAAUUUUAGAUUAUGUUUUUCCAUUUUUUUUUAUUUUUUAAUAGUUUUUUUUUUACAAUUUAAAACAAAAAUUGUUUUGUCUUUCUUCAGUGUUUUAAAUAGUUUAUAUUUAAAAAAAAAAAUUGAAAUCCACUACAUACUCAUCGAAAACCACUAAAUUUAUCGAAAAACACUAUAGAAUUAAAGCAAAAAUUUACUAUAAAAUAAGCAUAAUCCACAAUAAUAUUAACGUAAUCCAUUAUUAAAUUAGUGUAAACCACUGUUAAAUUAGUGUAAUUCACUAUAUGUUCAUCGAAAACCACUCUGUGUAUAACAGUUAUGUAACAUUGAAAACCACUAAUGUAUAACAGCUAUGUAAAUNNNNNNNNNNNNNNNNNNNNNNNNNNNNNNNNNNNNNNNNNNNNNNNNNNNNNNNNNNNNNNNNNNNNNNNNNNNNNNNNNNNNNNNNNNNNNNNNNNNNAUGAUUAUUUAAAAGCAGAAGUUAGUGAUUGUGAUUUAAGUUAGUUUUAAGUGCUUAUUUCUAAAAGUUGGGGGUGUUUGCAAAUAUUUCGGAAAAUGAACUAAAAUUGAAAAAGCAGGGUUAGGCGUGCUUUUAAAAAAUAGCUUAAAGCAGAUUAUUUUAAGAGAAGCAAAAGCAAAAGUUGAUUUUGCAAACACCUAAAAACAGAUUAUGAGCAAAAAAAACCGCAUAAUCACUUUCAAAAAGCAUUUGCAAACACCACCUUAAAAUGAUAAGACCCCAUCGGGUGCACAAAAUGUCAACAAAUAGAGAGAGAGUCGAUGUCAUUAAAACGGGUAAUUAAUUCCCUAAUUAUUACCAUCCCUUAAUUAGAAAAGAUUAUAUAUCUUUUAAUAUUAGAAUUAAAUAUACAAUUAGGGGUAUAAUGGUGAUAAUUAGGUGGUUUUAAUUAAUAAAAAAUAUUUUUGGAUUUAUCUUAAAAAUGUAAAAUAAAAUUGGACUCAUUGUAAUGAUACUUGUGUAAUUAGGGGGUUUUGUCAAAUUUUCCCAUAAAUAAAAGGUUUUGGUAAUAAAGAAAAAAUCACUUGUGUCUGCGACACUGCAACUCUUGAAAAUUUGAGAUAAAAGUCAUCAAAUAUUUUUUUUGUUCUUUUCUUCUGCUUAAUUAUGGAGUUAGUAUGUAGUUUUCUAGAUAUUAGUCCACCCAUAUGGUAAAAUAGAAUUUGAGGAUAUACAAUAGAUGAUCGAAGCUUUUGGAAGCAAAAUCAGAGGUGUUCGAAAUUCUCACGAGAUCAUUUCAAAAGUUCGUCGAGAAUGUAAAGUUAAAUCUUUCACGAUUUAGAUGGAAUUGGACUAACCAUUGGAUUGAAGAUUGUAGCACAAUAUUUAAGUAUCUCCCUUAAGUAGGGAUAAUUACACUUUUGGUCCCUAUACUUGCCACCUAAAAUAUUUUUGUCCUCAAAUAAUUGUCACCACUAAUAAUUUAGUCCUAAAACUUACCACUUUUUACAAUUUUAGUUGGCCGUCAAAUUUUCCAGUUUAGGUUGGAUGGAAUCAUCACGUGCGCCUCAUGUGACGUCCACUUGGCACCCUACAAAUGAAAUUGAACUAAACUCCUUCCACUUCAUCCUUACCUUUUUCUCUCCCCGUAAUAUUUAAUGCUUGAUUUCAGUUAGUAGGUUUGAAAUCUGAUCCCCUUUUCUAAUUUCCCAAACAUUAAAUAUGUUAUUUCCUCCACCACCGUCCGCCGCCUUCCACCACCUCUCCACCACCCUCCUCUGUCACAUCUUCUAAAAUAAAAUAACAAGAAAAGCAGGAAAAGAAAAAGAAAAAAUGGCACCCAUUGAUCCUUACUCCUACACAGACUCAACCCCACCCACUCGCAAAUUACAUCUCCCUCAACAGGAUAAUGAGAACCUUCAUAGUUGUAGUAUUUCUACUUCUCAGUGGCAAAACAAAGGGGAAAAAACCUCCACCACCAGGGUACUAAUGUAAACCCGACGUUGAAAUCAAAACCAUCACCACAAGAGCUUCUACUAAGUUUUUAUGUUACGACAAACAACUUGAGAUGAAAUCAAAUCUGUAAAUUGGGAAAUUACUAAAUUCAAAGUUUAGAGAUUGCAACUUUGAGAAAUUUACUAAAAUCAAAGGUUAAUAAUGUACGAUUGUAAUGUUCCAUAUCCACAAAUAUUUUAAAAUUUGUCAAAUUCGGGUUGGGUGAUUUUGGUGUUGUCUUAAAUCCCCUCAAUUUGAGGGUGUCCAGUGUGGUUUUUGUUGAAACGGAAUUAGAGGGAAUCAGGGAAUUAGGGUAUAGAAAUUGGGUGAAAUUGCUAAAUGGACUGAGUGUGUGUUCCAGCUGGAUUUUUUAUUGCCACUUGGGCAUCACCUUAGGUGUACAUGACAUUUUCGUCCAAAUUAAUUCGAAAAGUUUACGGCCGAAAUGAAAGUGUUAAAAUGUCGUAUGAUGAGGAUAUAUUUCGUAAACUUAAAAGUUUGAGAACUAAAAUCGUUUUAGGUGGAAAGUACAGGGACCAAAUAUAUAUAUAUAUAUAUAUAUAUAUAUAUAUAUAUAUAUAUAUAUAUAUAUAUAUAUAUAUAUAUGCUUCUAGGCAAACCUCAUGGCUGUCUCUGCACCCCUACCUCCUUUAUCACUGAGCAAUCAUUUAGGGGCCUUAGCUGGUGAUCCGGGCUGUUUCCCUCUAUAUAUAUAUAUAUAUAUAUAUAUAUAUAUAUAUAUAUAUAUAUAUAUAUAUAUAUAUAUAUAUAUAUAUAUAUAUAUGUGUGUGUGUGUGUGUGUGUGUCAACAUUUUAUAUGAAGGGUAAAUUAGGGCCACCCAUGUGGUAAGGUCAAAUUAUAAAAAAAAUCUCUUAUGUUUGGGUAAUUACAACGACCCCGUCAACUAUGAAUCUUCUUACACGUCCACCAGAUGGGUACCAAAUUUAGUGGAAUCUUCUAUAAUAUGUGGAAUAUUUUUCCGUUUGUACCCGUUUUAUCCCAUUCGAGCUCCACAUUUUGAAACAAGAUGAUCAUAAGAUGUGUCUCUUAACUUGUAAAUAUCAUAUUCCGGUGCAUCAAAAACAUUAUUUUGCACAAAACGAGUACAAAUUUGAGAACAUUUCACGGAUUCUAGAAGAUCAUGUUGAAUUUGACACCAUAAGGGAAGAGAUGUAAGAAAAUUCAAAAUUUAGGGGGUGAUUGUAAUUAUAUAAACAACAUGCAUUUUUUCGUAAUUUGACCUUAUCAUGUGAGUGUGGUCCUAAUUUACCAUUUACAUCGAAUUAUAGAUUGGAAAGGAGAAAUGGUUAAAUACAGAAUGUCAGAAAUAUGAUUUGAAAGACGAGAUAUAAUUAGGGCUUUUGUUAGCCAAUCAAAAUUGGGCAAUCAAUUCUUUUUCAUUCUUUAUCAUACUAUUUGAACACCUUUAGUAAAAAUUCUGAUUAGUUACGUAUCUUGUGUAUGAUUAGUUAUGCAGAACGAGGAAAAGAUUGUUGACAACAACAGUAAACACAUUUGAGUGGUUAAAAAAAAAACAAAAAAGGUUCCUGAAAAUCAGAUUACUGAUAUUUUGCAUGGCAGUUGACAACUGUCAUAUCUUGGCAGCUGCCUCGGUGUAUCACAUGCUUUGGUUUUAGGGUUUUUUUGUACUCUUUCUCCACAAACUGUUGCUAUAUAACACAGUCCCAUCUAUCAGUCCUCUCUACCACAAAAACUCAACCUACAAUGGAGUCCUCAAAGAUCUUAGCCCUUUUUCUCAUUUCCAUCCUCUCCGUUUCAGCCUCCGCCUCUCGCAUUAUCGAAAAAGAUUGCGGCUCGUGUUCCCAGCCGCCUAAAACCCCUUCCGUUAAGCCCCCUUCCACUACACCGAAGCUCCCCGUUCCACCGGUCACUGUCCCUAAAUUGCCCGUCCCGCCGGUCUCAAUUCCCAAAUUGCCCAUCCCACCCGUCACUGUCCCGAAACUGCCCAUCCCACCGGUUACAGUCCCAAAACUGCCCGUGCCGCCAGUAACCGUUCCUAAACUACCCCUCCCACCAGUAGCUGUUCCUAAACUACCCCUCCCACCAGUAGCUGUCCCUAAACUGCCCCUGCCGCCAGUAGCGGUGCCAAAACUGCCACUCCCACCCGUAGCCGUGCCAAAACUGCCAUUGCCGCCAGUGGCAAUCCCCAAACUGCCAUUGCCGCCGGUCGGAAUCCCUCCAGUGCUCAACCCACCAUCCACCGGAAAGGCCUGCCCACCACCGCCAGGGAAAGGGAAAGCAGCCAGCUGCCCGAUCGACACACUGAAGUUGGGUGCAUGUGUGGAUCUUCUAGGUGGGCUGGUCCACAUUGGAUUGGGCGAUCCGGCUGUGAAUGAAUGCUGCCCGAUAAUAUCGGGGCUUGUUGAGGCUGAAGCUGCAGCAUGCUUGUGCACAACUCUUAAAGUUAAAGCCCUAAAUCUCAAAUUAUAUGUCCCUAUUGCUCUUCAGCUCCUUGUCUCCUGUGGAAAGACACCACCUCCCGGCUACGAAUGCUCUAUCUAGAUUCCACUUUGGUAAUCAUCAUUUUUUCUCUCACAUAUGUAUACAUUAUUUGGCUAUUAUGCGCAUGAAAUACUUAUUACAUCAUUGUAAUAAUUAUAAUUUUUUUUUGGUUAUGCAGGUUUGCUAGCUAGAUGGAUUGAAGAAUCCAAAUCGACAUGAGAGGAUGUCGGGCUCGCAUGCAUGGGUUUCGUUUUCGUUAUUUGUUUGUUGUCUUCCAAUCCUUCAUUUUUUUUUUCUUGCUGGAAUUAAUAGUUGAUGUUUGCGUUUGUUCGGUCAACACCAUUUCAUUGUGUAAAAGUUUGUCAUAUUCAUGUAUUGUUUGUUGAUGAGAAAGCAGUAUAAUUAAUCAAAAAUGAUUCUAGAUGAAACACAUGCAAACUUGAGUUCAUCUAUCUUAAUUUAUUUGUUGAAAAUUAUAAUAGUUGGAGAUUGGAUGCUAUGAUCCACGAGCUUAGUACGAAAUUGAGAAUGAUUGUCGAGCGCAAUUUACUAAGCAAAGUUCAGAAAGACUAAUGUUAUGGUUCUGAUCUACAGACACUUAGAUGAAACUAUUGUUUGGACUAUAUUCAUGAGUAGAGAAUCCCCAGAUAUUAUGGUGUAUACUCGCUAAUCAUUUUCAUCAUCAAAAGACUAUACUCUUGCCUGAAGUAAGGACAAGUAGAUUCUAUUAUGGCUUAUGUAAAAUCGGAAUUAGUCUUAAAAAAAUAGACAAAUGCGAUAUAUGUGUUGGAUCUAGGCAUUGGUGGGGCACAUGUAGUGCAAUAAGCGUUGUUGUUGUAGAUGUAAAUAAUAAUGCACCAGCAUAUACUAGUAUGAUAAAGAUCAAUAUUCUCAAUGUGGAGUUCGUUGCUCAACUUCCAUACUUGGGGCACAUCUGACCAAAUAAAUCAUAUUAGAAUAUGAUGGGAGUACUGAUUUCUGAAAUAUGCAUUAUGAUCAUUUUUUUGUCUUUAGUUUAUUAGUUUAUUGGAUCUAAAUCAUCUUAUUUCAUAUUCUCUUGUUAUGAACCAUAUUCGAACUUGGAUUAUAUUUAGUUUAUGCUAUAGACUAUAUUCUUACGUGACUAUAUAUUCUAAAUAAAUUAUUAUAGUAUUCUUUGGUGUUUAUUUAACUUGCUGAAUUUUAUUUAGUACCUAAAGUGCUAAAUAUAUAUGACUAGAAAGAUCCCUGUAUUGUAAAAUUCACGUAGGAAAGGUCCCCCUCCUAUUUAAGUUAGUGAGAACACCUUUAGAUCUUAGUUAGGCUAAGAAAUAGAAGUAAACUACUAAUACUACCUUUAAUUUACUAAUACUACCUUUAAUGAUUUAUAUCUUAUUAACCAUAACUUUUUACUUCUAUCUCUUCUCUCUCUUUUCUCUCAAUCUGAAAAUCGUUCCUUCUCUUCCAACUUUCUUCUCUCUAUCCUCAUUUUCUUGUCUUCUCCAUUUAUUACUGUCUUGGCCUGCAAUAUUACUGUCUCCAACAGUAAUAUUACUGUCUGAGACACUAAUUUACUGUAUUUAUUCAUUUUAUCGUCUUGGCCGGCAAUUUUGCUGUAUUCGACCGUAAUAUUACUGUCUCAUGCAGUAAUAUUACUUUUUGGGAAAAUAAUAUUUAGUGAUAUUAAUGUUAGGGACAAUAAUAUUUAGUAAUAGUACUGUUUGGGACAGUAAUAUUACUGUUUCGGCAUUCACUAUUACUGUCUUAGACAAUAAUUUUGUUGUUAAUAAGGUAAUCUAGAGAGAUAAAAAAAAGUUUGGAAAAGCAAAAGUCAACGUCGGAAUCUUGCCGGAAAAAAUAUUUCAGAGAAAAAGUCUAAAAAAGUAUUCUUUCAAAAAAUUAUGAAAAUGAGGGUUAAUGUUACAUAGUUGUUCAAAUAUGGGAUCAAUGUGCAAUAUUGAUGAUGUUAGAAUAUAAUAUAUGAAACUGAUAGAAAUUAUAUAAGAGUUAUUUUAGACAAAAGACAUGGAGGUCAUUUGCCAGACUGUUUUUUAUGUUAACGUAUAUGCAGUUAAGUCACUUGUCAUAGGCCUAUUUGGCAUUUGCCCCUCAAAAUAUAAAGUACUUUUAUUAUGUGUUUGUUUUUUUUAUUUUUUUCAUUAUAUUAAAUAUAAAUUUGAACACCCUCUGUAAAAAUUCCGAGUUCACCACCUCCAGCGUGCAUCCAACAGUUAUAUAUAUCUUAUGUUACAUGCAUGAUUAGUUAAGCAGGAGAGGGUAACCAAAAAAAGAAAAAGAAAAAAAAGGCUCCCAGAAAGAUUACUGAAUUUGCAUGGCAGUUGACAACUAGCAUAUUUUGGAAGCUGCCUCGGUGUAGAGUCACAUGCUUCGGUUUUAGGGUUUUUUUUGUAUUCUUUCUCCACUUACUGUUACUAUUUAACACAGUCCCAUCUAUUACUCUUCUGUACCACCGAAACUCAACCAACAAUAAUAAUGGAGUACUCCUCAAAGAUGUUAGCUCUCUUUCUCAUUUCCAUGCUCUCCGUUUCAGCCUCCGCCUCUCGCAUUAUCGAAAAAGACUGUGCCCCUAAAACCCCCUCCGUAAAACCCCCUUCCACUAUCCCUAAGCUGCCCGUUCCACCUGUCACUAUCCCUAAGCUGCCCGUUCCACCCGUCUCAAUUCCCAAAUUGCCCCUCCCACCGGUCUCAAUUCCCAAACUACCCCUCCCACCCGUAGCUGUCCCUAAACUGCCCCUCCCACCAGUAGCUGUCCCAAAACUGCCCCUCCCACCAGUAGCAGUGCCGAAACUGCCCCUCCCACCAGUCACAUUGCCCAAUCUGCCAUUGCCGCCAGUGGCAAUCCCCAAACUGCCCCUCCCACCAGUUGGAAUCCCUCCAGUGCUGGACCCACCAACCACCGGAACAGCCUGCCCGCCGCCACCCGGGAAAGCGUCAGAAAGCUGCCCGAUAGACACACUGAAGCUGGGUGCAUGCGUGGAUCUUCUAGGUGGGCUGGUCCACAUUGGAUUGGGAGAUCCAGCUGUGAAUGAAUGCUGCCCGAUAAUAUCGGGGCUUGUCGAGGCUGAAGCUGCAGUAUGCUUGUGCACAACUCUUAAAAUCAAAGCCCUAAACCUCAAAUUAUAUGUCCCUAUUGCUCUUCAGCUUCUCGUCACCUGUGGAAAGUCACCACCUCCUGGCUACGAAUGCUCUAUCUAGAUUCCACUUGGGUAAUUCAUUAAUUUUUCUCCCACAUUUGUAUACAUAAUUUGGCUAUUAUGCGCAUGAAAUACUUAUUACAUCAUUGUAAUAAUUAUAC
rnacentral:lncRNA from 1 species